rnacentral:lncRNA from 1 species
UUGUCAAGAUAACUUUGAAUUGGGUUCUGAAGCAAGGCAAAUGCCAUGUAAGCAUCUUUACCAUUCAGAUUGUAUUGUACCUUGGUUGGUCAGGCACAACUCAUGCCCUGUCUGCCGUCUUGAGCUGCCUUCACGAGCUUCUGGGAGUGCCCCGACCAAUUGGACUUCCAGAACUGGAAACGUUAGCAGUGGCACCAACAACAGUAGUGGUAGGGACAACAGCGGUCAAAACCAAGGGAGGAGGAAUCUUUUUUCAUUCUUGUGGCCUUUUCGCUCGUCCAACCAAAACACUGGCAAUUAUACUGAUGAGAGGAGAGGAGGAAGUAGCUCAACAACACCCUAUGAAGAGAACAAUGAAGCAAAUUACCCUGCAUGGCGCUUUUAAUUAUUAAAAAGUUUCUUUCCAGCAUCUUGGAUUUUGCCUACUUUCAAGGUUCUGAAAUUAGUUUCAGGGGAUGUUGAUUGCGAGAUCUUGAAAUUAUCCUAGAUGGAGUGGAAACGUUGUUGUUUACAAUGUGUUGUAAUAUGAGAUCUAAGUUGUUCUUCAAAGGUGUAUAGGUGGGAAACAUCUUGAGAUGGUUUAAGGUGCUUGUGUAAAUGAUGUUCUCAAAAUGUCAAUGAUACAUCUGUUGUUGAUAAUAAAUUUGCUUCUAGUUGGCGUAGUCUCGUCUCGUUUUUUCUGUGUGUUAAGAGAGUUUUAUCAAUUGUGAUGUAUUCGGUUAAGUUGACAUCUCUGUGGACAUCAUUCUUCCCUUCCCUUUGAUUCACUAUCUUUGUAGUCGAAUUAAUCCUCCAUGUGUCAAGACUUGACUAUGGUGGUGCUCUUCUACAGCUUCUCUUUUCCAAGUAGUAUCGGACUAAGUUGCUCGGAUUCUGCAAAAAUAUUGUCACAUCUGUGUGUCGGAUCCUUCAAAGGUGGUACUCUUUUACGAAGACCACCAUUAGCAUAGUUUCAUCUCCUUUCUUUGUAUUGAGAGGGAGUUUUCACAAUUAUGACGAACUCAAUUAAGUUGUUAUUUAUAUUUCGAUCGGGACAACUUCAUUCUUCCCUUCUUUUUUACUAGAUGAGUAAUGUUCGUGCGUGGCAUAGGCCCAAUAUUAUAAAAGUUGAAAAGAUUAAUGUCUUUUUUAUAAAUAUGUGAUGCGGUUAGCCGUCAUCACCUUUAUGUUAGACAUGGGAGUGCAUGAAGAAUUACUUCAUUUGUAUAUCAAAUAAUACCAUUUCCAUGUCCAAGCAUUUAUUAAAAAAAUAUUUAUUGUUAUGAUAUAUAUCAAUUAUAGUGAAUGUCUAUCAAGAUCUAUUUGAUGUCUAUCAGGAUUUGAUAUAUUUGUCUUUUAGUGUGAAACAAGGGCAAAUUAGGGCAAAUUCUCCCUAUAAACAGAAGUUCCUUCAUUGUAAAUCAUCCCUCAAGAGAAGAAAUAGCAAUUACUCUCUCUAUUCUCUCUACUCUUCUUCUUUAUUCUUUUUUGUUUUAUAACGCGUUAUCAGCACGAGACUCUACCGUCUCAAAUUUGAAGGCUAAGGCUAAGGUAUUAUUUUUUUUAUUUCUUCCUUUUUUCAUAUGGCUAACAAUCUUACGAAGUGUGAGUUCGUUGCCCUUCAAAGUUCGGGAAAGAAUUAUAUUUCAUGGGUAUUGGAUGCUGAAAUCCACCUAGAUGCUAUGGGUCUUGGAGACGCCAUAAAAAAUGAAAAUACAGCAUCUAGUCAAAAUCGUGCUAAGGCUAUGAUUUUCUUGCGUCAUCAUCUUGACGAAGUGAAAAUUGAGUACCUUACUACUAUGGAUCCACUCGUAUUGUGGAAUAGCCUACAAGAAAGGUUUGACUACUUAAAGAUGGUCAUCCUCCCGAAAACACGAUAUGAGUGGAUGCAUAUAAGAUUUCAAGACUACAAGUUUGUUCAUGAAUACAAUUCUGCCAUGUUCAAAAUUUCUUCUCCAUUGAAACUUCGCGGAGAGACGAUCAAUGAUAAUGAUAUGAUGGAAAAGAAGCUCUCCAUUUUUCAUGCCUCGAAUGUGCUCUUACAGCAACAAUAUCGAGAAAAAGGUUUCAAGAAGUAUACUGAACUGAGUUCUCAUCUUCUCGUGGCUGAACAAAAUAAUGAUUUGUUGAUGAAAAAUUACGAGAACCGACCAACUGAAUCGGCACCAUUCCCUGAGGUGAAUGAUGUGCACGCUCACCAUGCUAGGCGUGGAAAAGGUCGCAGCCCUGGUCAUGGACGUGGUCGUGAUGACCAAGAAAGAAAUCCUGUUUCGGGUGUUAAUAAUUCAUCAAACAAAAAGAGAAAAGAUGAGAAACGUGAAGUAGUUACUUGUUUUCGAUAUGGCGAAAAAGGACAUUAUUCACGUGAUUGUCGUUCUCUCAAGCACUUGGUUGAUCUUUAUCAAGCAUCACUAAAGAAGAAAGAGAUAAAUACCGAGGCUAACUUUCUCUUUAAAAAUAAUGUUGACAUCACAUGUUUGGAUGUAGCAGACUUUUUCGAGUACCCUAAAGGAAAGAUUGAUCACUUGAUUGGUGAUGGUUCCGUAAACAUGAAAGAAUGAAUGAUUUUUAUUUUUUUUNNNNNNNNNNNNNNNNNNNNNNNNNNNNNNNNNNNNNNNNNNNNNNNNNNNNNNNNNNNNNNNNNNNNNNNNNNNNNNNNNNNNNNNNNNNNNNNNNNNNNNNNNNNNNNNNNNNNNNNNNNNNNNNNNNNNNNNNNNNNNNNNNNNNNNNNNNNNNNNNNNNNNNNNNNNNNNNNNNNNNNNNNNNNNNNNNNNNNNNNNNNNNNNNNNNNNNNNNNNNNNNNNNNNNNNNNNNNNNNNNNNNNNNNNNNNNNNNNNNNNNNNNNNNNNNNNNNNNNNNNNNNNNNNNNNNNNNNNNNNNNNNNNNNNNNNNNNNNNNNNNNNNNNNNNNNNNNNNNNNNNNNNNNNNNNNNNNNNNNNNNNNNNNNNNNNNNNNNNNNNNNNNNNNNNNNNNNNNNNNNNNNNNNNNNNNNNNNNNNNNNNNNNNNNNNNNNNNNNNNNNNNNNNNNNNNNNNNNNNNNNNNNNNNNNNNNNNNNNNNNNNNNNNNNNNNNNNNNNNNNNNNNNNNNNNNNNNNNNNNNNNNNNNNNNNNNNNNNNNNNNNNNNNNNNNNNNNNNNNNNNNNNNNNNNNNNNNNNNNNNNNNNNNNNNNNNNNNNNNNNNNNNNNNNNNNNNNNNNNNNNNNNNNNNNNNNNNNNNNNNNNNNNNNNNNNNNNNNNNNNNNNNNNNNNNNNNNNNNNNNNNNNNNNNNNNNNNNNNNNNNNNNNNNNNNNNNNNNNNNNNNNNNNNNNNNNNNNNNNNNNNNNNNNNNNNNNNNNNNNNNNNNNNNNNNNNNNNNNNNNNNNNNNNNNNNNNNNNNNNNNNNNNNNNNNNNNNNNNNNNNNNNNNNNNNNNNNNNNNNNNNNNNNNNNNNNNNNNNNNNNNNNNNNNNNNNNNNNNNNNNNNNNNNNNNNNNNNNNNNNNNNNNNNNNNNNNNNNNNNNNNNNNNNNNNNNNNNNNNNNNNNNNNNNNNNNNNNNNNNNNNNNNNNNNNNNNNNNNNNNNNNNNNNNNNNNNNNNNNNNNNNNNNNNNNNAAGUUUACUGAUUCCAAUACUUUCGUACUUUGGCAUGAUCGUCUGGGACAUCCAGGAUCAAUAAUGAUGAGAUGAAUAAUAGAAAAUUCAAAUGUGCAUCCAUUAAAGAACUUGAAGGUUCUUUCGAAUGGUGAAUUUUCAUGUAAUGCUUGUUAUCAAAGCAAGUUGAUUGUGAGACCAUCGCCAACAAAAGUUGGAAUUGAGUUCCCCGCGUUCUUGGAACGCAUACAUGGGGACAUUUGUGGACCAAUUUACCCACCAAGUAGGUCGUUUAGAUACUUCAUGGUCCUAAUAGAUGCUUCUUCUAGAUGGUCUCAUGUGUGUCUUUUGUCAUCUCGCAACUUGGCAUUUGCAAAAUUGUUGGCACAAAUAAUACGAUUAGAGGCACAAUUUCCUAAUAAUCAAAUCAAGUCUAUUCACCUUGAUAAUGCUGCAGAAUUUUCAUUCCAAGCAUUUAAUGACUAUUGCUUAUCGAUCGGAAUAAGAGUGGAACAUCCUGUACCCCAUGUUCACACUCAAAAUGGCCUUGCUGAGUCAUUAAUUAAACGUCUGCAGUUAAUAGCAAGACCAUUACUAAUGAAAACUAAGUUGCCCACUUUUGUUUGGGGUCAUGUAAUUUUGCAUGCUGUAAUACUUAUUCGUCUUAGAACGAUAAAUUAUCAUAAAUUUUUUUCGUUGCAAUUGGUUCUGGAUCAAGAGCCUAAUAUAUCUCAUCUGAGAAUUUUUGGGUGAGAUGUUUAUGUGUCGAUAGCACCACCAAACCGCACCAAGAUGGGCCCACAAAGAAGGUUAGGAAUUUAUGUUGGGUUUGAAUCACCCUCCAUUAUUCGCUAUCUUGAACCGUUAAUGGGAGAUAUGUUCACUGCUCGAUUUGCAGAUUGUCGGUUUGAUGAGAUACUUUUCCUAAAAUUAGGGGGAAAAGAUAGUGACAUCAAAAGAGAAAUUUUGUGAAAAAAUUCAUCACUAUCUCAUCUUGAUCCAUGUGCUUCUAUUUGUGAGCAAGAAGUACAAAAGAUUAUUCAUCUACAGAGAAUUGCAAAUCAAAUGCCGAAUGCAUUUACAGAUUUGAAAAGGAUCAAUAAAUCACAUAUUCCUGCAGAGAAUGUCCCAAUUCGAAUUGAUGUCCCUAAAGGUUCAUCCACUAGUAUCAUAGCUAAUGAAUCUAAAGCAUGCUUGAAGCGUGGCAGACCAUUAGGUUCUAAGGAUCGAAAUCCUAGAAAAAAAAUAAAUGGUCAAGAUGACACUAUGAAAGAUCCACAUACGGAAGUUCAAGAUUUGAGCAAUGUUGAUAUCCCUGAAGGAAUCAAUGAUCCUGAGACUCAAGAAAAUGAGAAACUAUCCAUAAAUUCAAGUGAUGUUGAAACUAAUCUGAAUCGAUCUAAAAGAGUAGUGGAUCAUGUCUUUGCAUAUAAUGUUGCAACGAAAAUCAUGCAAGAUAGCGAGCAUUUUGAACCUUAAUCUAUCACAGAAUGUCAACAAAGAAAUGACUGGCCAAAAUGGCAAGAAGCAAUUCAAUCUGAAUUGAAUUCGCUUGCCAAACGUGAAGUUUUUGGACCCAUAGCUCAAACACCUAAUGGCGUUAAGCCUGUUGGCUAUAAAUGGGUCUUUGUGCGAAAAACAAAUGAAAAAAAUAAAAUACAAAGAUAUAAAGCACGCCUUGUUGCACAAGGAUUUUCACAACGGCCUGGUGUCGAUUAUGAUGAGACAUAUUCACCAGUUAUGGAUGCAAUAACAUUGCGUUAUCUUAUUAGUUUCACUAUCCAUGAGAGACUUGAAAUGCAUUUGAUGGAUGUGGUAACAGCCUAUCUAUAUGGAUCACUUGAUAAUGAGAUAUACAUGAAAAUUCUCGAAGGAUUUAAAAUGCCGAAAGCAUAUAGUUCAAAGCCUCGAGAAAUGUAUUUCAUUAAAUUCAAAGAUCAUUGUAUGGUUUGAAGCAAUUUGGACGCAUGUGGUAUAACCGUCUUAGUGAAUAUUUAUCUAAAGAAGGUUAUACGAAUAAUGAAAUUUGCACAUGUGUUUUCAGAAAGAAAAAAAUGUCGGAGUUUGUUAUACUUGCUGUCUAUGUCGAUGACAUAAACCUUAUUGGAAUGCCAAUAGAGCUUCAAAAGGCAAUUGAUUACCUAAAGAAAGAGUUUGAGAUGAAAGAUCUCGGAAAGACAAAGUUACGCCUUGGUUUGCAAAUUGAGCAUUUGACAAACGGUAUCUUUGUCCAUCAAUCUGCCUACACAGAAAAGGUGUUGAAACGAUUCUAUAUGGAUGGAGCAUAUUCAUUAAGUUCUCCGAUGUUUGUUUAAUCACUUGAUGUGAAUAAGGAACCAUUUCAACCUCAAGAAAAGAAUGAAGAACUCCUUGGUCCUGAAAUACCAUAUCUUAGUGCAAUUGGUGUACUAAUGUAUCUUGUAAAUACUACAAGGCCUGAUAUUGCCUUUUCAGUAAAUUUUCUAGCAAGGUAUAGUUCUGCUCCUACUAGGAGACAUUGGAAUGGGAUCAAACACAUAUUACGGUAUCUAAAGGGGACUACCGAUACGGGCUUAUUUUAUUCUAAAGAUUACAAUUCUAAUCUUGUUGGUUAUGCUGAUGCUGGAUACUUAUCCGACCCGUAUAAAGCUCAGUCUCAAACAGGCUAUGUAUUCAUAUGUGGGGGUACUGUCAUAUCUUUGAGAUCAGCAAAGCAGUCUAUCGUAGCCACUUCAUCGAAUCAUGCUGAGAUUAUAGCUAUUCAUGAAGCAAGCCGAGAGUAUGUGUGGUUGAGGUCCAUAAUACAUCUCUUUUGAAAAAAAUGUUGCUUAAAAUGUGACAAAGUACCCACAAUUUUAUAUGAAGAUAAUGCAACAUGCAUAGCACAACUGAAAGGUGGAUUCAUAAAAUGAGAUAGAACGAAGCACAUUUCGCCAAAGCUCUUCUAUACACAUGAGCUCUAAAAGAAUGGUGAUAUUGACGUACAACAAAUUCGUUCAAGUGAUAAUGUGGUUGAUUUAUUCACCAAGUCUCUUCCAACUGCAAUUUUCAAGAAGAUGGUGCACAAGAUCGAAAUGCAAAGGUUCAAGGAUGUUCUUAUUAGGGCGAGCUAAUACGCGCUGUACUCUUUUUCCCUUAGGAGGUUUUGUCCUACUAGAUUUUCCUUGUAAGGUUUUUAAUGAAGCAGCCUAUAUCCAUAUUAUUAGACAUUCAAGGAGGAGUGUUAUGAUAUAUAUCAAUUAUAGUGAAUGUCUAUCAAGAUCUAUUUGAUGUCUAUCAAGAUUUAAUGUAUUUGUCUUUUAGUAUGAAACUAGGGCAAAUUCCCCCUAUAAAUAGAAGGGCUUCCUUCAUUGUAAAUCAUCCCUCAAGAGAAGAAAUAAAAAUUACUCUCUCUACUCUUCUUCUUUAUUCUUUCUUGUUUUAUAACAUUUAUCAAGUUGUACAAAAAUUGAUGAAAUAUUUACUUCUGGUUGUUGUAUUGUCAUAAUAAUAUAAGUGAUGCAUUCUUUAUAUCCACAUUUCAUAUUGUCGUAAAAAUAAAUGAUUUUUUAAUUAUUUCAUAUUAAGAUUAGUAGUUAAUUAAUUUAUGUUUUGUCGAUUAUUUAUUUAUUUAUUUAUUUCAUAGCCUUCGUAUGUUUAAAAAAAAUAUGUAAUAUUAGUUGUGCAAUUACUUGUCAUAUAUGAAAAGACAUAUUGAGUAACUCAAUAUGACAGGGUAAUCAAUUACAAUCAAGAGGCAUAAUUGGAAAAGAAAUAUUUUAAUUGAGAUGAGAAACUUUUAGUAUUAAUGGAAGGAUGUACAAUUUUGAAUUCAAAUAAAACAAAAAUACGAAUUUAUUUGAAAGAUAGUUAAAAUUAGAUAUUACUACUAUAUUGAGACUAAUCCAACUAAUUAAACUAUCUUUGUAUGAAUUUCACUAAUUACAUUUUUGUACAAUAGAAAAUAGUUAAUUGCCAAUCUUGAAACAAAUAUUAUUAAAUGGGGAAUAUGAUGGUAAAUAGAUGUCACCAAUAUGGGUAGUGGUGCAGUGGAUGAGGGUUUGACCCUGGAUAUGAAUAAAACUCUGUUGGGAGCAUUGCCACCUUAAUGGGUCCUGCAACGCGCGAUCCAUAUUAGUUGGGGCUCCAAUGAGGGUACCAGACACCGGAUGGAAAACCAAAAAAAAAAUAUAGAUGUCAUCCCUCAAAAUAUGCAAACAAUAUAAAUAAGGAUAUUAUAUUAAAAAAAUUAUGAUUUCAUUACAACUGAGUAAAUCAAGAAAGUAUUACAAGAAAAAUUUGUGAAUUAAUAAUCAAUUAGUAAUCAAACAACUUAUAUGAAAAAAGUUUAAUUGACAUUUUUCUAAAAAAUAUUUCAACUUUAAUCACAAAUAAGUUUGACCUAUAUUUGUAAAACAAUAAAUGAAUGAAUAUAAGAAAAUCCGUAAUUAGGAAAAAAAAAUCAUUGUUACCUUAUUUGAGUGAUUAUAAAAUUAUAAAGAUAAUUAAAUAAUCAAUUGACUGUAGUCAAAUUAUAAUUUUAUAAGAAAUUUUUGAGAAAUAAAUUAGUAAUUGAGAAAAAAAUUAAUUGUUACCUUUUUUAAAUUCUUUCCCAAAUUAUAAAGGUAACUAAUAUCAAAUUAUAUAAUCAAACUAUAAAAAUAUGAGACAUUUAUAGGAUUGAAUUUUCACAAUUAUAAAGGUAACUAAUAUUAAUUGUUCCGUUUUUGAGUCCUUUAUGUAAUUGUACAUUAAUUAAAUACAAUCAAGAUAUAAAAUUAGGAUAGAUUUAUGGUAAGUAGAUAUUUAUAAUAUUAAUAAUAAUUUUAUUUUCAUCAAAUUAAUUAGAUUAAAUUGAUGUAAAAAUCAGUUAAUAUUGAGAAUUAUUUUAACAGAAAAUAUAUGCAAAGUUACGUAAUUGAUAUACAUAUAUUGGUAAAAUAAAAAACAACGAACAUUGACUACUACUUUAGCCAUAAAUAUAUUUUGAAUUUGAUAUGGUAUUAAGUUUUUUGAUAUAAAACAUUCCAACUCAUUGAAAGAAAACAUGAAGGCCCAAAGAAUCCUAAAAUAUAUAGUAAAAAAUCAUAAUUUUUAACACUUUUAAAUCAAUUAGAAUUUUAUCUUAUGUGAAAAAAGAAAUUAUUCUUUGCUUCUGCUUUCUUCUUAUUUUAGUUCUUCAAGUCAUCUUCUUUUUUUCAUUAUCAUAGUCCUUUCUGUAGAUUUAAAGAUUAUAUGAAUUAUAAUGAUAAUGAGUUCUUCUCUUUUGAUAAUUUAUUGUGUUUCUUCUUCAGUGUAAAAUUUUGAAUUGAAAAAUUGGACGAAAUAAGCAUGUUGUCGAUGAAUGAUAUAGCCAAAAAAUCAAAUGUUUAUCUCUUUUCGUUUUUUCUUUCUUUAUUUAAAUGUGACUUAGUCUUGGUUAUGUUAUGUAAUUUUAGUUUGUUAUACUAUUCGUUAGUACUGUAGUUGAAUCUUCAAUUAAACAUAUUUGUUGAAUUCGAAAUAAGUUUAUAAUUAAGUGUUGAAUCUUGAUAUGAAAAGUUUUUAUUUGAAUAAUAAACAUAUAAAUUAACUUGGUCUUGUGAUUUAGGUUUCUCUUCUCUUUCUAAGAGGUUUUUCUAGGAUCGAAUUUGACUAUUGUUCUCAAGAAAAUAUCGAGAAAUUUAGUUGUAGCCAUUUGGAAUUGAGAAUAUAUUAAGAGUGAUAACAGUUUCUCUAUCUGAAAUGUGCUUGAUUUCUCAAGAGAUAUUUCAUCCAAGUGGUUUAGGUACUAUAAUUUCUCUAGCUUCGUCAGGCAGUUGACUACUUAUUUAGUAAAUAUAAAAUUCUUCUUUAUUUCAUCGCUCUUAAUCUUCCUGUACUUCGAUUAUGUUUUUGCUUGUGAUGUUCUUAUUUGCAAUAGUUUCCUUGAAACCUAAAUAAAUCAAACAACGUAUUAAUUUUAUACAUGAAUAACUUAUUUCUUAACUUGCUAUCAAAUAUUAUGUACUCAAAAAUUGAUGCAUGAAUAAGUUGUUUCUUUACUAGCUAUCAUAACUGUUGAAUUUGUUUCUAAAUACCGCUAAUGUAGAUUGGUGUAUGUUAAAAAGAAAUUGGUCUGAAAGUAGUUGAAAGUUAUCAAUAAUUUGUAUAAUCAACUUUAAUUAAAUUUGAUUGAGACACAACUAAUUGCUAUGGUAGUAUUUCUAAAUCAUGCUCAAACACUAAGGUAUUGAGAAAACUUGUUUCAAAAUCAUAAAUCAUGCAUUUCAAAUCAUUCAUAAUAAGAUCAUAAACUUAAAUUUAUCACAAGAGAGGGACUUCAUAAUCUGUGCUCUCAAACAAAUCUUUAAUUUCAAUUUCAUACGUAUACAUAUACUUGUAAAUCAAUUUAAGGGGAUGAGGACUAAAGGACAAAACAACAAUAUCAAUAACAUGCAUAAAGCAUAAUAAAAACCAUGGAUUUCAAACCCCUUUAACAAAUUCAUGCUUUAUAAUCUUUAAAUCAUAAUUGAGUGUUUCAACAAGCCCAUGUAUUUUUAGGAUAAAUCUCAUAUACCUCAAUUUAGAAAUUUGAUGGAUGAUUCUUGAAUCCUACGAUUUGAAAAUUCGAAAUCUUCAACCAAUCUUAAAAAUCCACGGUUAAAUCUUGAGUUAUUUGGGGUUUUAGUUUGAAACCCUAGAGAGUGUUCUUGAGUAAUUUGGAUGAUUGUGAAUGUAUUCUGGUGUCUUUGAGAUUAAAUCCCAUGUUUAGGUUGAUAAGAGGGUGGAAGAUUGUAACAACCCGAGCCUGGUGCUCAAAACGCUACAUGGUGCUCAUGACCCUGAAGGACCACAAGUUAACCCAUAACUAAUACCUGUACCUGUACACUGCAUAAUAUGAUAUAAUAAUGCAAAAAAUUGCACUGAAAGGCCAUAAGGUUCAAUACUGAACAUGAUCUGAAUGAUAUAUCAUCUGUGUGGGGUAAUAGAAUUUCCAAAAUAAAACUGAACAUACUGAAGUCUGAAACAUGAUAGUCUAAAAAGCCUCUAACUGACUAAACUGUCUGAGUAAGGAGUUGAUGGGACAUGUCCCCAACUAACUCCCACUAAUAAACUGAUUAAUAAGAGGGAAACAAUCAUGUCCUCAAAAGAUGAGGACUCACUUCUAACUCUGCCUUCGGAUAUCUGGAAUCUACUGUUGCUCUAGAGCUCAUGUCUCUGAACAUAUGGUAUAAGACACCAUAGCGCAAAUACGUCAGUACUUUGAAUGUACUAAUAUGCAUGUGAGAUAGGCUGAAUGCAUGGGGUUCAUAUGCAUAAACAAUAAUAAUAACUGACUAAUUAUCAUGAAAGCGAGAAUACAUGCAUGAGACAUAACAACUAACACUAAUACUGUGAUAACAUGAUUACUGAAUCUACAUAUAACUUAUAACAUGAGUGACUGUAUCUGACAGUCCUGAAUCUGAUGGACUAUCUGAGUUUUGUACUAUAUCUGAGUUGAUUGUAUCUGACAGUCCUGAAAUCUGAAGAACUAUCUGAGUUCUAUUACUGAGACUGAUUGACUAUAUCUGACAUUCCUAAUUCUGUAACAUGAAACUGUGGGAAGUAGUUAUCUAACCGAUAUGCCCCUAAUAUGCCAUUAUGGCUGAGUUGGGGUCCAAUCUGUAACCCUAAUUGGAAAGGGAGUCAAUACCGCGCCACUAGUAAGUAAAAGCUAUGGGCGACCCUCAUCUGAUAGUGUCCCCAAAAGAGAACGGUGAGGGUCUUAUCUAACAGUGCUUAUACACCUCAUCAACCCUCAUCGGACGGUGUUGAUGUCUCAACCUAUGCUAGCUACAUAGUUCUGGAACGUAAGGAUGACUUCUAAGAAUCACACCCUCAUCUAAUAGUGUGUGUUCUCAUCCUUGGGUUCACUCGGUGCUAAUUCCUACUCCCAUCUGAAUAGACUCUGAACAUGAUUUACUAAACUGAACAUAGGCUGAGUUACUGAAUUCCAUUGACUGACGGAAUACUACUAAUAGCUGGCAACUGACUGAGUUUAUACGAUCAUGGAGAUUUUCUGAGUCAUAAGAUUGUAUGAAGUCUAAGGAUACAUAGCUUGACUGAGAGUAUUGUGAAAAAUGACAUGGCUUUAGGCACACUACUAAUGUUUCAGGUACGAGUACCCCCAGGACUCGAUGGAAGGAAACUGACCAAGCAUAACUUACUUGAACAUAUAAUUAACAUCAUAAUUCGUAAUACAUUUAUAGAAGUAUUUCAUCAAAACAUGUGAUAGGCAUAACUUGUACAUACAUAGGGAUUUCAUGGUACCAUGCUAGUUAGGCACUUUUCAUUCAUCUAGGCAUUUAAUCAAACAUAUUGUAGGCAUGGUACAUGUAAACAUCAUAGUACAAUAAUUAAACAUCAUGGUUCAAUUUUAAUUUCAUCAUUCAAGGGUUUAGUCAUAGGUUUGCAUGAAUCUAUAUAUCUAUAAUACUCUAACCCACAUAGAAUUUAUCACCCAACAUGGAGUAGAAUUCAAUUUCUCAUUAUCCACAUGAACAAGAUCAGCCCAAUCAUGAAAUUCAUAAGAAAAUCCAUAAACUUGAAUUUAGAAAAAGGGAUUAUUGGGCUUCAUAGACGAAAGGAGUCCAUGAAUGAACACUAUGCAUACCUUAGUUCGUGAUUUUGUGAGGAUUGACGGUGAAACCUUCUUGAAUUCGAAUCCCCAAUAGAAACCCUAGCUUGUUCUUGAGAGAAACUUGAGAGAAACUAGUAUAUUUUUGGUGAAGAAUAGAUAAAUCAUGUGUUAUUGGGUUUAAAUAGGGGUAGAAAAUUGACCCUUUUAACCCUUGGAUGCGUCUUUUAAAAUUGUAAAAAUUUUCCUAAACUAGACCUUUACCGCGACGCGGCACUAUUGCAUCGUGUCACUGGAUUUUGAAAAUUGGGAAAUUGAGGGAUGGCGCGACACGGGGCCAUCGCAUUACCACUUCCUUUGUGACCUGAAACUUUGGCGCAAUGCGGGGGAAAUCGCAUUGAGACACUGGAAAACGAACAAUUCUGAAUUUGGACCCUAGCGCGAUGCGCCAUAAUCGCGGACCCCUACUGUAAUUUGCCAAAUGCAAUUUCCUCUUGUGGCGCGGUGCGCCACUGACUAAUAUGGCACUGUUUUACGAUGGGAACUUAAAAUAGUCGUAACUUCUGACCUGGUUAUCGGAUUUGGGUGAAUCUUAUAUCGAUGGAAAACUUGUUGAAUUUCCUAUAUGAAAAAAUGUGAAAAUCUUAAAAAUUACUCAUGGAAUAAUCAUCAUUCAAUUUAGAAGCUAAUCACGAUGGCUCACUGGAAAUUGACGAGUGGGAUUCUUAAGGUCACCGCGACGCGAAGCCAUCGCGUUGUCCCACUGGUUGGGACCUGAAACUUCCGUGCGACGCGCCACAAUCGCGUUAUGCUACUAGAAUUUGAUAAUUUCUAAAUAGGCCCCCUCCGCGAUGCGCCAAGGACCAAAAUGACGGUGUUUUACAAUUAGAACAUAAAUUAGCCAUAACUUCUUGUCCGGGUAUUGAAUUUGGGCGAAUCUUAUAUCGACAGAAAGCUUAUUCAAUUUCUCGCAUGAUAAAAGUUUGAAAUUAGGGAAAUUAUAUAUGGUUUUAAAUUUACUCACUUUGGAAAUUAAAAAUGAGACUAAGUUUGUUUGACACAAUUCUAGUCAUUUAACUCUAAGAGCAUAUUACCAUGAGCUAAUGCAUGAAUGAUUUUUGCGGGGUGUUACAUUAUCCCCCCUUGGGAUAAUUCAUCCCCGAAUGAUGACGUGGAACACAGAUAAACACAAUUUAAAGUAUACUAAGGCCAUAAAAGAAUAAGACAAGGAUUGUACCUUUUAUUUCGUCAUGCACCGGAUCAAACAAGUCUGGGUAUUUAUCUAUCAUGUCAUUUUAUGAUUCCCAAGUCCUUCCUUAACUUUCUAAUUUCUCCACAACACUUUAACCAACACUACCUAUUUGUUUUAAACUUUUGAACUUGGCGAUCUAAGAUUGCAAUAGGUUCCUCUUCAUAUACUAAUGAGUCUGUCACCUUGAUCUCCUCUACAGGCAACACUAGGGAAUGGUCUCCAAUACAUUUCUUAAACAUGGAUAUGUGAAAUACCGGAUGAACAGAACCCAAAAUUGCAGGCAAAUCUAACUCAUAAGCAACUCCCCCUAUCCUUCUCAAAAUCUGGUAUGGCCCUAUAUAGCGAGGACUCAACUUACCUCUUUUCCUGAAAUGCAUGGCUCCCUUCAUCGGAGAAACUUUAAGAAACAUCCAAUUACCAACCUCAAACUCUAAGUCUCUUCACCUAAUAUCGACGUAGGACUUCUAUCGACUCUGGCCAGUCUUAAGUCGUUCUCUAAUAAUUUUCACGUUCUGUAUUGCCUGAUGAACAAGAUCAGGCCCAAACAACUGAGUCUCACCCAUUUUAUACCACCCUAUUGGCAACCUACAUCUUCUUCUAUACAAUGCUUCAAAAGGAGCCAUCUUAAUACUGGCAUGGUAACUGUUAUUAUAUGCGAACUCUAUCAAUAGAAAGUGAUCCACCCAACUUCCCUUGAAGUCAAUUAUGCAGGCCCUUAAUAUAUCCUCAAGAGUCUGAAUGGUGCGCUCAGCUUGCCCAUCAGUCUGAGGGUGAAAUGCAGUACUUUGGUUCACUUAGGUACCUAAACCCCUCUGAAAAGAUCUCUAAAACUGCUAAGAGAAUUGCGUACCUCGAUCAGAUAUGAUGGAUACAGAUGCUCCAUACAAAUGAACUAUCUUCUCAAUAUACAGCUUGGCAUAGUCAUCUCCUGAAUAGUUAGUUCUGACGGGCAGAAAGUGCGUUGACUUGGUCAGUUGAUCAACAAUCAACCAAAUUGAAUCAUACUGGCUUUGGGACCUCGAAAGUCCCGUGAUGAAGUCCAUAUUGAUCAUCUCCUAUUUUCACAAAGGUAAGGCUAUCUCUUGGAAAGUACCACCUGGCCUCAUAUACUCUACUUUCACUUGUUGACAAUUCAAACACUUGGUAACAAAAUUAGCCACAUCAUGCUUCAUAUUAUUCCACUAGUUAAUAGCUUUCAGAUUACGAUACAUCUUAGUAGAGCCUGGGUGAAAACAUACCUCGAAGUGUGAGCUUCAUCAAGGAUCUUUUUUUGUAAUUCAUCUACAUCUAGUACAUAUAGUCUGCCCUAAUAUCGUAAAACUCCAUCACCACCAAUUUCAAAAGACAUCACCUUCUGUUGACCCAUAUCUUUCUUAAUCUGCAUCAAGAUGGGAUCUUCAACCUGCUUCUCUUUAACUUCAAUACAAAGGGAAGAUUUAGCCACCUCAUGAACAACCACUCCCUCAUCUUCGGAAUCCAAGAGUCGCACUCUUAGAUUUACAAAUAGGUGAAUAUCCUUCACUGUCUCCCUCUUUUCCUUUUCAACAUGCGAAAUACUACCCAUAGAUAACCUACUGAGGGCAUCGGCUACCACAUUUUCCUUUCCCGAAUGGUAGUGCAGGCUUAUGUCAUAAUCCUUUAAAACUUCCAACCAACACAAUUGCCUAAGUUUCAAUUCUUUCUGCGAGAAAACAUACUCCAAACUCUUGUGGUCAAUAAAUAUAUCAACAUGUACCCCAUAGAGAUAAUGCCGCCAGAUUUUGAGCGAAAAUACCACAACCACUAACUUCAAGUCAUGGGUGGGGUAAUUUUGCUAAUGUACUUUUAACUGCCUAGACGCAUAAGCCACUACUUUACCAUACUGUAUAAGUACACGCCCAAGUCCCACACAGGAUGCAUAAUAGUACACAACAAACCCUUCCGUACCUUCCAGAAGAGUCAAAAUAGGAGCAGUUAUCAACUUAUCUUUUAAUUUCUCAAAACUAUUCUCACAGGAGUCAGACCACACGAACUUUACCUUUGUUUGAGUCAACUUAGUAAGUGGUGUAGCAAUGGAAGAAAAACUCUUUACAAAUCUUCUGUAAUACCCUGCCAAACCCAAGAAGCUUCGAAUAUCGGUUGGAGUCGUAGUUCUGGGCUAUUUUCUUACUACCUCAAUCUUCUGGGGAUCAACCUUAAUCCCGUCACUAGACACGAUAUGCCCUAAGAAACCAAUAGCAUUAAGCCAGAAUUCACACUUAGAAAAUUUCACAUAUAACUCAUGAUCUUUGAGAGUCUGAAGGAUGAUUUGGAGGUGAUUGUCAUGGUCCUUCUCACUCUUGGAAUAAAUCAAAAUAUCAUCAAUGAAAACUAUAACAAACAGAUCUAGAAACUGAUGGAACACCCUAUUCAUAAGGUCCAGGAAAGCCGCAGGGGCAUUAGUCAACCCAAAGGACAUGACUAAGAAUUCAUAAUGACCGUAUUGGGUUUGGAAAACUAUUUUGGGAAUAUCUGAUUCUCUAACCUUCAACUGAUGGUAUCCCGAACAAAGGUCUAUUUUUGAAAAAUAAUUAGCACCCUGAAGCUGGAAAAAAAAUCAUCAAUUCUAGAAAGAGGAUAUUUAUUUUUAACAGUGACCUUAUUCAGCUGACGGUAAUCUAUACACAUACGCAAGGAACCAUCUUUCUUUAGCACGAAGAGUACAGGUGCAGCCCAAGGAGAAACACUAGGACAAAUAAAACCUUUAUCUAAAAGAUCUGCUAGCUGCUUUUUUAAAUCUUUCAACUCUGCAAGAGCCAUUCUAUAUGGUGGAAUAGAGAUAGGAUGGGUAUCUGGCAACAAAUCAAUACCAAAAUCUAUCUCCCUAUCAGGUGGUAUUCCUAGGAGAUCAUCUGGAAAAACUUCUGGGAACUCAUUCACCAUAGGGAUGGACUGAAGAGAAGGGCUUUUGGUAUUCGAAUCUUCAACCCGAAUAAGAUGAUACAAAAAACCCUUAGAAAUGAGUUUAUGGGCUCUGCGUCAAGAGAUGAACUUCCAUCUAGGUUUUAAAGAAUGUCCCUCCUAUUCUAUUGCUGGUUCAUUUAGGAAAGAGAAAGUAACCUUUUGGGUUCUAUAAUUUAGCAUGGCAUAUGACAAAUGAAGCCAAUCCAUCCCUAAGAUUGCAUCAAAAUCAACCAUGUCUAAGUCUACGAGGUCUGCCUUAGUAUCCCACUCACAAACAGUCACCACACAAUUUCUAUACACCCUCCUAGCCACAACAGAGUCUCCCACCAGAGUGGAAAUAAAAAAAGGUUUGGAAAUUACAUCAGGCUCAAACCCAAAACCAACAGCCAUAUAAGGGGUCACAUAAGAUAGGGUAGACCCGGGAUUAAGUAACAUAUAAAUAUCAUGGGAAAAGAUUUGAAGUGGCAAAGCGUACAAUCGAUUUUAGCCAUUUCUGGUGGCUGAAGUGGCACCCUUCUGAGGCACUGGUGGUGCAAAAGAAUUAGCCAGUAACUUGGCUCCACCAACAUUACCCUUUGCUGCCAGACAUUCUCUCUAGAUAUGGUCUGGCAGGCCAUACGAAUAACACACCAUAGUGCCAAACUGACAUCUCCCUAGAUGAUUCCUCCCAUAUUUCUCACAGCGCGGGAAUGUCCAAGAGAUCUGAGCUAUACUUCCUUGAGACUGUGAACCCUGCAUCCUCGGCCCCUGUCGAUACUGAAAAUCCUGAGUGUGUUGUUUGGCUGGGGGUCUGGUCACCGGGGCACUGGCUACAGACUGUUUUUUCUUUUGCUAUUUGUUACCCCAAUUCCCACUCUGCUGCUAACUGUAGCUCUGGUCUGCUGUUUUGGAUCUCUUUACCUAUCUAUCCUUCUCUCUAGAUUCAGUGAUUUUUUUUCUCUUUCUUAGCUUGCUGCAUAUGGACUGAUAGCCUGGCAAAAUCCAUGUCCCGAUUCAACAUUGCUCUAUGACAUUCAAGCACUAAGUUAUCUGAAAGGCUGAAUGUAAAUUUCCUCAUUUGGGCUCUCAUGUUACUAGUCAUCUCUGGAGCAUAAUGGUCUAGUUGGUUGAACCUCAGAGUGUACCCCUGGACACUCAUCUUACCCCGUUUUAGAUUCAUAAACUCUUCAGCUUUGGCCUCUCUCAGCCCGAGAAAAAAGAAUCGAUCAAGGAAAGCUUCCACAAACUUGGCCCAAACUGUGGGCUCAGCAUGCCCACUCUUUAAAUCUUCCACUCAUUAUACCGUUAGCUCACUACAUCCUUGAGAUGGUAAGCCGCUAACUCAACCCCCUCUACCUCAUCUACAUGCAUCACCUUAAAGAUCUUCUCAAUCUCAUCCACAAACUCCUGUGGAUCUUCUUCAACCUUGGUACCAGUAAACUUGGGCGGGUUCAUCCUCAUAAACUGGCCCACUCUUGUAGCCUCAAACGUAACAGGUACAGACCCAAUAUCUUUCGACUAUUGAGUCUGUAUGGCUACCAACUGGGCAAGCAUGUGAAUGAACUUUCUGAAUUCUGCAUUAGAUACCUCUCACUCGUGAGGAUGAGUGCGGAUAGUCCCCGUUCGGGGAGGUUUAGGUGCCCUAAGUGGGCUGGUCUGAGUAGGUAGGACUCCCAGAGUAGCAUCAAUCUCCAGAGUCUGAGCUCUGUUUUGGGUCCUUAUCCCAUGAGUGGGACGGACCUCAUCUGUCUGUUCAUUCUGAUUGAUAGUACGACGGGAAGGCAUGAUUAUUUUUCUGAAACACAAGAGAUCAUCGAUUAGGGGACAACUCAAACUCUGAAGCAUGAACUAAACCACAAAGAAGAGAAAUAUUCCUAAACGCCUAGUAGCCUUCUGCUUAUAAGUAUGGCAUGCUACACACCCAUAAAAAAAAUUCUACCCAACGCAAUUUCGCAGACACCCUGGGACCAUGAACCAUGCUCUGAUACAAACUUUGUCACGACCCGAACUAGGGCCUGGCUGUGAUGGAUAUCUCAAACCAUGAAGGCCGGAACGUCCUAAUCUAUCUGGUAGUCAUACAUAUUAUUCAUAUAAUAAGAGAAUAUGCAGAAAUACAAUCUGAUAUGGAAACAUGGUCAUUAACUCUAAGUUUCAAGACAUGAGAAUAAAAGUUACAAUUCAAAACAUCUGAAUAAGAUCUGACCCAGUCUGCGAAAUCUCUACUAUAUCUCAAAACUGUUUUAAAAACUGGGACAAGGCCCCCAGUAGACCAAACCAACGGAAUAACAUAAUCUGAAAUAGCGGGACUUCUGGAAUAAAGAAGGCUCACCACUGAAUGGAUCACUUCUCUCUGGAAUACUCUACUAAUUAGCCAGACCCUUGGACUGAGCCUCCGAACCUGAGGGUCAAUACAGAUGUACUGGUACGCAGAGCAAAUCCAAAAUACUAGUUUAUAUUCAACAUAUAUGAGAGCAAUUUAAAAUAAUUCAUAAACAUAUCAGAUAGUAAGAAAUCUCAUGGGUAUUUUUGAAAGACUCGGCAAAAUCAUCUUAACUCUGUGACACUUUUCGUUUUACUUCUGUGCUAGGUGGUAUACCCUACAACUCUGAAAUUCCAUGGGCUAUAUGAAAUCCGUCAUUGACUCAGCGGGGAAACCUCCAACCCAAGUAUGCCGCAAGGGUUGGAUUCUCUGACUCUGCUACGCCACACAGCCGUCGCUAGUAUAAAAUAAUAUACCCAGAUCGAAAAAUCACGGUUUUAGGCUAAGAGUUACUUGAACUAAAGCCCUUUUCGGGUAACCACCUAGCCCUCUUUAAGUCCAUUUUUAACUUUUUAAAGUAUGCAUUCUCUGAAAACAUAUUCUGAAAACAUACUCUGUUAUGGCAUACAUGUUUAUGGUAUCGUCAUACCAUUGACUUGCAAGUCACGUCUCUGAGUCAUUAAUAGCAUAUAAUAAUCUCUGUUUGGGACCACCAUAUCUAUAAAUCAAUUCAAAGAAACUCUUUCUCAAACCUCAUGUAAACACAUGCAAGGCGCUCUCUUUGUCAAGCAUUUAAAAAAUACAAGGUGGUCAUGUCAAAUUUCUCAAUCACAUGCAACUCUUUCUCAUUUAAAACAAGGGUGUAAUUAUAUCAAGAAGUUCCCUCUCAUCGUCUCUAAAUCAUGCUCAAACACUAAGGUAUUGAGAAAACUGGUUUCAAAACUAUAAAUCAUGCAUUUCAAAUCAUUCACAAUAAGAUCAUAAACUUGAAUUUAUCACAAGAGAGGGACUUCAUAAUCUGUGCUCUCAAACAAAUUUUAAAUUUUAAUUUCAUACAUAUACAUAUACUUGUAAAUCAAUUUAAGGGGAUAAGGCCUAAAGGUCAAAACAACAAUAUCAAUAACAAGCAUAAAGCAUAAUAAAAAUCAUGGAUUUCAAACCACUUUAACAAAUUCAUGUUUUAUAAUAUUUAAAUCAUAAUUGAGUGUUUCAACAAGCCCAUGCAUUUUUAGGAUAAACCCCACGUACCUCAAUUUAGAAAUUUGAUGGAUGAUUCUUGAAGCCUACGAUUUGGGGAUUCCAAAUCUUCAAUCAAUCUUGAAAACUCAUGGUUAAAUCUUGAGUUAUUUGGGUUUUUAGUUUGAAACCCUAGAGAGUGUUCUUGUGUAAUUUGGAUGAUUGUGAAUAUAUUUUGGUGUCUUUGGGAUUAAAUCCCGUGUUUAGGCUGAUAAGGAGGUGGAAAAUACUCAAUAUAUCUUUACUGAGAUGGAAUAAAAAUAUAACUGGGAGCCCAAUUUCAUAGGCCACUGCGACGCUCCACAAUCGCGGUGGCUCACUGAAAAUUGACGAGUGGGAUUCUUAAGGUCACCGCGACGCAGAGCCAUCGCAUUGUCCCACUGGUUGGGAUCUGAAACUUCAUCGCGACGCACCACAAUCGCGCUAUGCAACUGGAAUUUGACAAUUUCUAAAUAGGCCCCCUCCGUGACGAGCCAAGCACGAAAAUGACGGUGUUUUAUGACUAGAACUUAAAUUAGCCAUAACUUCUUGUCUGAGUAUCGGAUUUGGGCGAAUCUUAUAACGACGGAAAGUUUAUUAAAUUUUCCACAUGAUAAAAAGUCAAAAUUAGCAAAAUUAUAUAUGGUUUAAACUUUACUCACUUUGGAAGUAAAAAAUGAGAUUAAGUUUCUUUGAUACAAUUCUAGUCAUUUAACUCUAAGAGCAUAUUACCACGAGCUAACGCAUGGACGAUUUUUGCGGGGUAUUACAACCUUGUUCCAUAGAAAAAUAUCAAUCGAAUUUUCAGUUAAUGGGAACCAACAUAGCUGCAAUUUACGAGAUUUUUGAAUAAAUAUGAAAAUCAAAAAUAGCGAUAUGGAGUUCAGAAGCACUGAAGUAAUGGAGAUCAACUAAAGGAUUUGAAAUUGUGAAGGAGGUAAAAUGGGGAAGGAAUAAUUUUUUUAAAGUAGUUGGAUCCAAUGACAUUUUUUUAACUUUGGUUGAGAAAGAGAAGGCAGUAAAAGAGGGGUGGGGCGAUAUGAAGAAGACGGGGGUUACAAAGAAGAUAAAGAAAUAGGUGGGGGUACGAAGAGAUGAAGAAACGGCGGGUGGGGGUGGAUCUAAGUGUGAAGAAUUUAUCAUAUUUAUCAAUAAUAAGAAUCUAUAAUCUAUAAUCUAUAUAAUAUUAAAAGUGUGAAGAUCCUUAGAAAAGUUAUUUGAACUUUUUGUCUUUCAUUAAAAGUUUCUACUUUAGACAAAAUCGUUUUUCACUAUUUUUAUAAUAAUAAAAUAUAAACCUUAAACAAAAAACAACAAGAAAAAUUCAAUUCAUAUUUGAUUUGGAUUUGGGAGAUAAGACUCAUGCAUAUAUAUGCUUUUGAUUAGAUUUUAUUUUAUAAUUAAAGUCUAUCAAAAUUAAAUAAAAUAACAUUUAAUACUUCUAAAUCAAUUCGAAUUUUACCUUAUAUUAAUUAGAAACACAUUCAAGGAGUAUAUUUUGGGUCAAACUUUACAAAAAUAUAUGCCUUUUUUACUUCUAUGUAUAUUUUUCUCUUAAUUUGACGAUUUUGAUUCAAGUCUUCUUCUUACAUUUAUUAUUAUCAUUUAAUUUCUCUUGUUUUCUCUUUCAAUGUAUUUUCUCUUUUGGUAGAAAAUUUACAGCUUACCUUCAGCAUCUAUUGUAAGACUCUCUUAAACUAAUUUCGUAUAGUUAAUCCUAUGAAACUUACAUAUGUAUAUGUCUAUCGAAAAUAGUAUCUGGUUCUGUCACAUAGCCAAAUUAGAGAUAAAAAAGCUGAGAGUUUGUUUUUUUUUUUACAAUUCUAUCAUCAUAAAAUGGCUCGUGCAUAAAGGACUUUAUAUAUUACUAGGAGUAGUAGUUUUUUAUUAAGAGUCAUAAUUGAUCUAUGCAUCCUAUUAAAUAUUGAAGUUUUUAAAUUUUUUGUAUUGUUCUUAUUUACUUAUUUUUAGUGAGUUAUAAUUUAUUUCGGUAAGUAAGUUCUACUUGAUUUUCUUGUGUUGUAUUCUAUAAAAUAUUUACUUUAAUUUUUUUCUUAACGGCGAACAAACGACCUCUGCGGAAAAUUGAACAGUACACAAUUUCUUUGUUCAUUAUUUGAUUAACAUUUCAAAAUUAUAGAUUAUUGUAUGGAGUAGACAUGAAAUUUAUAUUAGCCACACGAAAACAUCUCUAUAUCAGGUUUCUUUAUUUAAUCUGUCAUUUAGUUAGAUUUGAAGUUAUAAAAUUUUGUUAUGCUAACUCUUACGUGUUCAUAGUUAGUAUGAAAGAAUAUUGUCGUCGGUGGUGAGCAUAUAGAGGAAAAGGGACAAGGAGAAAGGAGUAUUUUAUACCUCUAUUUAAAGAUGUGUUUGAUGCAUUAUGAUAGUCACUUCUAUUCUUAUUCUUCUUCUUCCUUUUUGUUGUCAUCUUCAUAAUUUCCUCUAAGUUAUCAAAUUAUUUCAACUAAUCCAUUCACUAAAAAUGAUAACGGAAAAAAUAUUUUGAUGAAUACAAUUAAGAAGAAUAAUCUGGAUUAUAAGAAAAUAUUUGUAGGUGUUACAUUCGAGCUACCAAUAUAAGUGUCUUUUGGGGCUUAGAAUUCUUUCAUGUUUAUUUCUAUUAUGAUUCAUUUGAAUUUAACUUUUAAAAGUUUGUAUAAAUUUAAAGGUUAUUUUUUAUUAAUGGUUAUUAAGGACAUAUUGAACAAGAAUAUAUUAAAUUAUGUAAUUGUAAUAGCUCCAUUUUAGAAGUCACAAUUAUGACUUUGGAAACUUUAUAAUGUAGCAAGACUUUAUAAUGUAGUAAGUAUUGUAAAUAAUUUACUUAUUUUGUGGAUGUUCACAUACCAUACUUCACAUACUACACCUACUACACAUAAUGUUAGAGCAUGUAAUGAAGUUAUUACUCUUGUGUAUAUCAUUCACAUACUACACCUAUUACACAUACUAUUGCCUAUAAAAGGGCACUCCUUACUCCAUUGUAAGCACACACAAAAGUAGAAGAAAAUAAAUCUUCUUUUAUAUCUAUAGGUCUCUCUCAUAUCCCCUUUUGUUUUAGUAUAUUUCAGAAUAUUUAUCUACAACACGUUAUUAGCACGAGAUCCCUUAUAAGGUACGUAUUUAUUAUGUAAUUAUUUAUUUUUCAGACUCUACACACACACAUACAAAUAUAAAUUGCUAAAGGAAACAACCUUGUUGAUAAUAAUCUAUUAACAAUAUAUGAUUCUAUUUAAAUUUAUUUGAGAUGGUUAUCUUAUUUUGAAAAUAUCAUUAUAUCUAACUUAUUAAUCUUUUUAUGAUAGUUUCACUAUGUCAAAUUUAUCAAAACUUGAGUUUGUGGCACUAGAUAUUAUCAAAAAGAAUUAUUUAUAUGGUUCCUUGAUGCUGAAAUUCACCUUGACGCUAGAGGUCUUGGGGAUACUAUCAACCAAGAAAAUAACGCAUCUUGUCAAGAUAAGGUGAAAGCCAUGAUUUUUCUUCAUCAUCAACUCCACGAAGGAUUAAAAACUGAAUAUUUAACUGUGAAAGAUCCACUCGAAUUGUGGACUAACUUGAAGGAUCGAUAUCACCACCUAAAAUUGACGGUAUUACCAAAAGCUAAAUAUGACUGGAUACACCUUCAGUUUCAAGAUUUUAAAACGGUGGUUGAGUAUAAUUCUGCUAUUCAUAAAGUAAGUUCAAUAUUAAGAUUAUGCGGAGAAACCAUCUCUGAUGAGGACUUACUAGAGAAUUUUUUUUUCACUUUUCAUGCUUCUAAUGUAUUGCUACAACAACAAUAUUGUGAAAAGGGAUUUAAGAAAUAUUCAGAAUUGAUUACGCCUACUUGUGGUAGAGCAAAAUAAUACAUUGUUAAUGAAAAAUCAUGAAGCUCGUCCCACUGGAUCUGAUCCAUUCCCUGAAGCGAAUGUUGUAGCAGCACAUGAUCAGCCUGAAAUAAGGAAAAAUUAUUAUCGCAGUUGUGAUCGAGGCGAUGGUCGUGAACGUGGGCGAGGACGUGGCAGGGAACAAAAUAAUUAUCAUCAUAAUGGUGGAAAUAAACAAGAGAAUAAUAAAGGUUCUCAAAAUAAUCCUUCAAUGGAUAAAUUUAAUAUUUGUCACCGAUGUGAUAUGAAAGGUCAUUGGGCACGUGUUUGUCGAACGCCUGAUCAUUUUGUCAAACUUUAUCAAGCUUCCUUAAAAGAAAAGAAAAUGAUGUGGAAGUACACUUGACCUUUCAAGGUGAUGAUGAUGAAGCAGCUCCAUUAAAUACAUAUGAUGAUGUUGAGGCAAAUCUUUCUUACAAUGAUGAUGACUUUAAGGGCCUCUCAGAUAUUAACCAUUUGAAAGCUGAAGAUUUCUAUGAGGACAUUGAUUGAAAAACUGAUCACCUUAGUUGAGAAUAAAUUAUAAAGAAAGUUAUUAUUUUCUUUUGUUUGCAAAUAUGUUUUUCUUUUUUAUUGAAGUACCAUGUAUUUCUAAUUUCUACAUUUCUUAUGUUAGUUUUUCAAUUUUCUUAUAAUACAUUUUUUUAAUUGAAGAAUAUGAAAAAUCCCCAAUCAUUACUUGGAUUCAAAAUAAGUUACGAUGAUAUAUGUCUAAUAGAUAGUGCUACCACACAUAUUAUUCUAAAAGAUAAGAAAUGUUUCUCUUAUUUGGUGAUGAAAGAAGCCAAUGUUAAUACUAUAUGUGGUAGUACAAGAUUAAUUGAAGGCUCUAAAAAAGAUAACUUAUUACUUUCUGGAGGAACAAAUUUGAUGAUUGAUGAAGCAUUAUAUUGUAGUAAGUCUCAAAGAAACUUAUUAAGUUUCGAAGACAUUCGCUAAAGUGGCUAUCAUAUUGAGACUACAAAUGAUGAAAAAAUUGAAUAUCUUUAUAUUACUACAAUAAUGUCGGGUAAUAAAUACAUACUUGAAAAAUUACCCGCUCUUUCUUCUAGCUUAUACUACACAAGUAUUAGCACUGUUGAAACACAUGCCAUAGUAAAUCAAAAAUUUACUGAUUCAAACAGUUUUAUUAUUUGGCAUGACCUGUUGGGCCAUCCCGGUUCUAAUAUGAUGCGCAAAAUAAUUGAGAAUUCAUAUGGGCACUCAUUGAAGAACCAAAAGAUUCUUCAAUUUAAAGAAUUCUCUUGUGUUGCAUGUUCUCAAGGCAAAUUAAUUACUAGGCCAUCAAUAAUGAAAGUAGGAAUGGAAACUCCUGUAUUUCUGAAACGUAUACAGGGUGAUAUAUGUAGGCCCAUUCACCCUCCAUGUGAAUCAUUUAAGUAUUAUAUGGUUUUAAUAGAUGCAUCUACAAGAUGGUCACAUGUGUGUUUAUUAUCAACUUGUAAUUUGACUUUUGCGAGAUUACUUGCUCAAAUAAUAAAGUUAAGAGCAAAAUUUUUAAAUUAUACAAUAAAGACAAUUCGUCUUGAUGAUGCAGGUGAAUUUACAUUCCAGGAUUUUAAUAAUUAUUGUAUAUCAAUUGGAAUAACAGUUGAACAUCCAGUUGCCUAUGUUCAUACUCAAAAUGGUGUAACAGAAUCAUUGAUUAAACACAUCCAAUUAAUUGCUAGACUAAUGCUUAUGAGAACAAAACUUCCCAUUUCAAUAUGGGGUUAUGCUAUUUUGCAUGCAACAGCUCUUGUACGGAUACCCAUAAUUUAUCGUAAAGUCUCCCCAUUACAAUUAAUUUUUGGUCAAGAACCAAAUAUUUCCCAUCUAAGAGUUUCUAGAUGUGCGGUAUAUGUUCCAAUUGCUCCACUGCAAUGCACAAAAAUGGAUCCUCAAAGAAGAUUGGGAAUAUAUGUUGGAUAUGAAUCUAUUUCUAUUAUAAAAUAUUUGGAACCUAUGACUAGAGAUUUAUUUACGACAAGAUUUUCUGAUUGUCAUUUUGAUGGAACAAUAUAUCCAACAUUAGAGGGAGAAAAUAAGUAGUUGGAAAAGGAGAUAGAUUGAAAUGAAUUAUCAUUAUCUCACUUAGAUCCUUGUACAAAUAAAUGUGAACUAGAAGUUCAAAAGAUAAUUCAUUUGUAAAACAUUGCAAAUCAACUUCCAGAAGCAUUCAUUGACAUAUCAAGAAUUACAAAAUCUCACAUUUCAGCUGUUAAUGCUCCUAUUCGAGUUGAUUUCCCGAUAGAACAAUUGAGUAAUGCAAAUGAGUCUAAACCACACUUAAAACGUGGUAGAUCAAUCGGUUCUAAAGAUAAAAAUCCUUGAAAAAGAAGAGGAGCAAAUGAUCAAAAUAAUCAUAAUAUGGAGGAAGCUACUCAUGAAGAGCAGCAAGACAUAACAAUUGAUCAAACCUUAAAAAAGGUUCACGUACCUGAAAAUAAUAAAAAUAAAGAGAUCUCAAUCAGUUAUGUCUCAUCGAGAAAAAUAUGAAAUCAAAAUAAUAUAAUUGUCAAUAAUAUUUUUGCUUAUAAUAUUGCUAAUGAAAUAAUGCAACAAGAUGAGGAUCUUGAACCAAAAUCUGUCGAAGAAUAUAGACAGAGAAAUGAUUGGCCAAAAUGAAAAGAUGCAAUUAAAAUUGAAUUGGCUUCGCUUGAAAAACGCAAAGUUUUUGGACCUAUAGUCCAAACACCUGAAGGUAUAAAUCCAGUGGGGUACAAAUGGUUUUUUGUGCGAAAAUGAAAUGAGAAAAAUGAAGUCGUAAGAUAUAAAGUACGACUUGUGGCACAAGGAUUUUCGCAAAGACCUGACAUUGAUUAUAUGGAGACAUAUUCUCCAGUAGUGGAUGCAAUCACUUUCAAGUAUCUUAUUAAUUUGGCAGUUCAUGAAAAACUUGAUAUGCAUCUUUUGGUCGUUGUCACAGCCUACUUAUAUGGUUCAUUAGAUAGUGAUAUUUAUAUGAAAAUUCCUGAAGGAUUCAAAAUGCUUGAUGCGUAUAAAACUUCUCGAAAAAAUUGUUCAAUCAAGAUUCAGAAAUCCUUAUACAGAUUAAAACAAUUAGGACGCAUGUGGUAUAAUCGCCUUAGCGAAUACCUAUUUAAAGAAGGGUAUAAAAAUGACCCAAUUUGUCCUUGUGUCUUUAUUAAAAGGUCUGGAACUGAAUUUGUCAUAAUAGCUGUAUAUGUUGAUGAUUUGAAUAUCAUUGGAACUCCUGAAGAGAUUUCAAAAAUAAUAGAAUGUUUGAAAAAAGAAUUUAAACUGAAAGACCUCGAAAAGACAAAAUUUUGUCUUGGUCUACAAAUUAAACAUUUUACAAAUAAAAUAUUUGUCCAUCAAUCCACAUAUACUGAAAAUAUUUUAAAGAGAUUUUAUAUGAAUAAAGCACAUUCAUUGAGUACCCCAAUGGUUGUGAGAUCACUUGAUAUUAAUAAGAUCCAUUUCGACCUCAUGAAAAUAAUGAAGAACUUGUUGGUACUGAAAUACCAUAUCCUAGUGCAAUUGGGUCAUUAAUGUAUCUUGCUAGUAAUUCACAACCAGAUAUAUCUUUUGCUGUAAAUUUAUUAGCAAGAUUUAGUUCUUUCCCGACACGAAGACAUUGGAAUUGUAUUAAGCAUAUAUUUAGAUACCUCCGAGGAACUAUUGAUAUGAGACUAUUUUAUUCAAAUGAGUCUGAUUGACAAUUAAUUGGUUAUGCAGAUGCAACAUAUUUGUCUGACCCACAUAAAGGUCGAUCUCAGACAGGUUAUUUGUUUACAUGUGGAGGUACAACUAUAUCAUGUCGUUCAACAAAACAAACCAUGAUUGCUACAUCUUCAAAUCAUGCAGAGAUAAUAGCCAUUCAUGAAGCAAGCCGAGAAUGUGUCUGGUUGAUGUCAAUAACUCAACAUAUUUAGAAAAUAUGUCGCCUUACUUUGAAGAAGAAUAUUCCAACAAUAUUGUAUGAAGACAAAACCGCAUGCAUAACUCAAUUAAGAGGAGUAUACAUCAAAGGAGACAGAAUAAAAUACAUUUCACCAAAAUUAUACUUUACUCAUGAUCUUCAAAAGAGGGGUGAAAUAGACGUUCAACAAGUUCUUUCAAGCGAUAACCUAGCAUAUAUAUUCACUAAAGCAUUGGCAACAUCAACCUUUGAGAAGUUGAGACACAAGAUUGGGAUGCAUCGUCUGCUAGAUAUUAAGUGAUGUUUUUAUCAGGGGGAGUAAAUAUGCGCUGCACUCUUUUUCCCUUCACUAAGGUUUUGUCCCACUGGGUUUUCCUGAUAAGGUUUUUAAUGAGGCAGCAAACAAGGCGUAUUACAAACCGUUAUGUAUAUCUUAUUUCCUUUAGAAUUUCUUUUUGACAUGAACAUCCAAGAGGGGUUAUUGUAAAUAAUUUACUUAUUUUGUGGAUGUUCACAUACCAUACUUCACAUACUACACCUACUACACAUAAUGUUAGAGCAUGUAAUGAAGUUAUUACCCUUGUGUAUGUCAUUCACUUAUUUUACAGAUUUUUCUUGUAUCAAACAGACUUAUGACAUAUCGCAUUCAUAAUUUAGAAAAUGCAUAAAUUAUUAUCAUUUUUUUAAAAUUUAUACAAAAUUUUAUAUAAUUUAAUUAAUAUUUAUCAAAUUAUUUUUUUCACAUAAUCGUGUACACUCACUUUUUUUGCAAAUGCAUUGUCUAGAUUUCCAUUAUUUAAUAUAUUAGUAUUUUUAUUAUUUAUGAACAUUAGUAUUAUAUAUAUUAUUAUUCACUAUUAUUUAUUAUUUAAUAUUUAAUUAUUUUUAUUAUUAUUUACUACUACUACUAUUUAAAUAACAGGCCUAAUUCCAAUCGCUUUGCCUAAUUUAUUCACCUUUUAACUCAUUAUAUCCAAUUUCUUGCAAUUUUAGCCUAUCUUAUUUAGUCUAUUAUAAUCUCAGCCCAAUUUCUUAUAAUUCUAGCCAUUUAUUACAAUUAUAGCUAAUAUGAAACUCAAUUCCAAAUUUUUCAUAUUUAGAUCUCAGUCGUUGAUCAUAAAUGAAUCCAAUGGCUGAGAUCGAAAAUAUCUUCUUUCCUUUCAAAAACCAAAUAAAUCAAAACCCUAACCCUAAAAUUCUUUUCAUUCACCUCCCUCCCUAACACUCUCCCUCUCCACCUCUCUCAAAACCACCAUAGCGUGUUGCAGAACAAUUAACAAGAGGUAAUAGGACAGUGUUCCAGUGGCAUAAUAGCCAGGUAAAUUGCAGAAAUGGAACUAAGCUAGAUUGAGAACUAAGCUAAGAACUAAUUACGGCUAAGAUAUUUUUCAUAUAUGAUAGUAAAAAUGAAAAUGACUCAUUACAAUUUAUAGUAUUUCAACCCUAGCUGACUCAUCUUAAUCCUUAAGGGAUAAGGCUGAAAUUGUACUACCUCUGCAGGAAUGUUCCUUGGACCAAAAAGGGACCCUUGAACAAUUGUGGAUUCCUAAUGUGUAUUUAAAUUAACUUAGGGACCCAAAAUAAAAAAGAACUUAACCAUAAAUAAAAACUACAAUUACUUAACAUAUUUAACGGCUAGGUACAACAAUGCAAGCUAAGGGUACUACUCUCUUCAGCCACGAUUUUCUGUUCUUCAGCUGGUGACAGCUUCAUCUGCAUCAUUUCUCCUUCCUUUGAAACUUCCUUGUCCUCAAGGGAGAAUGAUGGAUAUUUGAUCUUUAUCACUUGAUAAUCUUCCCAUGUGGCAUGCUCUUUGGUCAUGUUCUUCCAGUGAAUCAAAAGUUGAGGGAUGGCCUUGUUUCCCCUCUUUAUCAUCCUUCUUUCUAGUAUAUUUUCCGAUUUCUCACAGUAAGAACUGGCUGGAUCAACAAUUGGGGGGUGAGUGAAGUGGCUAGGGACCUUAUGACAAGGUUUUAGCUGAGAAACAUGAAAGGUGGGGUGGAUUGACACUUGAGAGGGUAGAGACAAUUUGUAGGCCACUGACCCCACCCUUUGAAUGAUCUGGUAAGGUCCAUAACACUUGGCUGAUAGUUUGGUGAAAGCCUGAUUAGAGAGGGUGGCUUGUCUGUAUGGUUGUAUUUUGAGUUACACCCAAUCUCCUACUUCCAGUUGUUUAUCACUUCUUUCUCUGUUAGCUAAGGACUGCAUCUUUUGUUGUGCCCUUCCCAAAUGAUAUUGAAGCAUCUGAGAUUUGAGUUCCCUGGUAAUUAAGCUCCUAUCCACCUCUUCAUCUAUAACUCCUCCUGCGAUGUAAGGGAGAUAAAAUGGUGGUGGUUGACCAUAUAGGGCUUCAUAAGGGGUGGUCUGGAUAGCUGAAUGAAAUAUGGUGUUGUACCACCACUCUGCCAUAGGUAACUAGAGGGAUCAAUCCGAUUGAUUAUCAGAACAAAAGUAUCUUAAAUAUGUCUCUAAGGUUCUGUUGAGCACCUCUAUUUGGCCAUCAGAUUGAGGGUGGUACGCAGUUGAAGUACUCAAGGUUAAUCCAUGUGCUGAGAACAAUUCAUGCCAAAACCUGCUAAGGAAAAUGGGGUCCCUAUCACUGACUAUAUUCUCAGGCAUGCCAUGUCGUUUAAAAACUUGAUCAAGGAAAACUUGAGCUACAGUCACAGUUCUGUAGGGAUGACUGAGGGCUAUAAAGUGACCGCUUUUGGUCAAUCUAUCUACCACUACCAUGCUGGUAGUCUUACCCUUAGACUUUGGCAACCCAUCAAUGAAGUCCAUACUAAUGUUGGACCAAGCAGAAGUAGGGAUUGCCAAGGGUUGUAGAAAGACAGGUGAUGUUGCAGCAUCAUAUUUACUCAUUUGGCAUAUGGAACAACUCCUGACAUAAUUGUCAACAUCCUCUCUUAGCUUUUUCCAAUAGAACAUGUGUGACAGACUCCUGUAAGUAUUUUCCAUUCUAGAAUGACCACCACUAGGAGCAUCAUGCCACAACUGUAUAAUGUCAUGCCUGAGUUGCUCAUCCUUCCCUAUCACUAACCUUCCAUAUCUCAUGAGUUGCUGGUUAUAGUAGGUGAACCCCUUCUGACCUUCAUCCUAGUCUAUCAGUUUUUGGAUUAGUUCUUUGAGUUGUUCAUCCUCAUCCCAACUUGCCUUGAUCCUCUAGAAGAGAUUGGUUUCCACAGGGAUUACUGAUAAUAGAAACAAGUAAGCAGUUGGCAUUCUUGAGAGGGAAUCGGCAGCUUUAUUCUCUCUUCCUUUCUUGUAUUCAAUCUGAAAAUCAAACUGUAUAAGCUUUCCUAUCCACUUCAUCUGAGUACCAGUAUGAAGCUUUUGAUCAAGUAAAAACUUAAGAUCCUUUUGAUCUAUCCUUACAACAAACUGUCUUCCCAACAAGUAUUGUGAAUAUUUGGUUACUGCCAAAAUCAGAGCCAAAAGCUCUUUGUCAUAAACAGAUAGAACCUGAUAUCUUGAUGAUAACCCCUUGCUCAGGUAUGCUAGAAGAUGCCCUUCCUGCAUCAAUACUGAACCUAUACCAAUGUCACAUGCAUCAGUUUCUACCACAAAUUGGAGUGUACUACUAGGCAAGCUGAGUACAGGUGCAUGAGUUAAAGCUUCCUUAAGUUGAUUGAAAGCUUGUGUAGCCUAAUCACUCCAAAUGAACCCUUCUUUAUUUAGAAGUUCAGUAAGAGGCUUGCUUAUCCAACCAUACCUCCUAAUGAACCUCCUUUAGUAGUUAGCUAGACCCAAGAAUCCUCUUAGUUGCUUAACAGAUUUAGGAGCAGGCCACUUUUGCACAGCUUCAAUCUUCUUAGGGUCAGUGGUUACACCUUCUGCAGAGAUGAAAUGCCAUAAGUAGUCCACCCUGGUAGCACAAAAAGAACAUUUGCCCUUCCUAACAAAAAGUUGAUGUUUGAUGAGUAGGUCAAACAUAAUUCUCAGGUGCUGCAAAUGUUCUUCCAUGUUUUUGUUGUAAACAAGAAUGUCAUCAAAGAAAACUGGGAUGAAUUUCCUGAGGUAUACUUCGAAAACAUAAUUCAUGAGACCUUGGAAGCUUGAAGGGGCAUUAGUGAGGCCAAAAGGCAUCACUAAGUACUCAUAGUGACCAGAAUGUGUCCUGAAAGCAGUCUUCUACAUGUCUUCUAGAGCCAUCCUUAUCUGAUGGUAGCCCGACCUCAAGUCAAGCUUAGUGUACACCUUGGAACCCCCCAACUCAUCCAACAGUUCCUCAACAAUGGAGAUAGGGAACUUAUCCUUGAUAGUGAUCUUAUUUAGGGCUCUAGAAUCCACACACAGCCUCCAACGGCCAUCCUUCUUACCUACUAGCACCACUGGAAAGGCAUAAGGGCUACAACUAGGUUGUACUAUGCCUUGAUCCAAUAUCUCUUGUACCAACUUUUCAAUUAUGUCCUUCUGUCUUGAUGAAUACCUGUAGGGUCUAGUGUUUACAGGAUGGCUGCCCCUUUAUAGUGGAAUCCUGUGAUCAAAUGUGGCCCUGGAUGGAGGGAGUUGUUGAGGGUGCCCAAACAACAUGUCAAAUUCCUCGAUCAAGGUCACAAUUUUAGGGUGGAUAUCUGCUGAUUCUUUUCAGUGAGGGAUUCUGCUGGUAAAACCUUGAUUAUAAACAAAUAACCACUAUUGUGAGUCAUCUUGUCCAACCCCCUUGCAUCCACUAUCUUGGUGCUUUCCCUUACUCCUUGUAACUGUACCUUCUGGUCUUGAUACAUAAAGGAUAGUGUAAGUUUCUAGAAAUUGAGCUGAAGAUCACCUAAUGGCAACAACUACUGCACUCCCAAAAUCAUAUCACAAGACCUCAAGGGAAGAAGUAGGAAGCUGUCAGCAAAAAUAGUUCCUUGCAUCAUCCAUGUGAACCUUUUACACAUCUCAUUGGUUUGCCUGUUUCCCCCAUCAGCAAUAUUGAUAGACUGAGGUUUCACUGAUAUCACUUCCAACCCCAACUGUCUAAAAACUUCAUCAUCUAUAAAAUUUUGAGUACUUCCUAGGUCAACUAAGAUAUUGAGAGGUUUCUUCUCACUGUACCCUUUUACUCUUAGUGUGUGAAAUCCAGGAAGUCCAUUCAAGGCAUGAAUAGAUAUUUCACAUUUUUCCUUCACUCUUUCUAUCUCUAUCUUAGUCACACCUGGUUUUUUAAGCUGUGCUUCUUCUUCCUGUGCCUCCCCAUCAUCCAUUUCCAACAAAUAAAGUUGCUUAGAAGUGCUGCACUUGUGGCCAGGGACAAACUUUUCCUCAUAAAAGAAGCAAAGUCCCUUUUGUCUCUUCUCACUCAUCUCAGUUGGAGUAAGCCUCUUAGUAUAGAUUUUAUUAAGAUCCACAAUGUUAUCCCUUUUUGGUGGUUGAUAAUCUUUUCUAUGGGUUCUACCCCUGUGACUAGUCCCAAGAGAUGACCCCUUACUCUGACUAGUACCCCACUAUACAUUGUAGACCUGAUCAAUUUGAGUUGAGCAUUAACUUGCAAUUCUGUGUUCCUGGAUAAUCGAUAGGCUUGGGGAAGGAAAUGGGGUCUGUGAUUCUUGACAGCAAACCCAAUCUCUAGUUUCAACCCAGUGAUAUAGGCACUAAUAGCAUACUCAGGAGGUAAAGUCAACCUAGUCAUGAUUCUAUCAAACUCCUUCUGAUACUCUUCUAUUGAUUCAGUUUGCUUUACUAAUUUUAACUCAGCCAUGAGGUCUGAGUACUCAGCCCCAAAUCUAUCCAUCAAGGUAUAAACAUAUUCUUCCCAUAAAGGAGGAGGUAGAUGAGCCCUACUCCUCACAUAAGUCAAAUGUCACUCAAUGUCCAUAUCAUCAAAAUGGAUAAAUGCUACUUUAACUCUUAAAUUAUAAUCUACCCCAUCCAAGAAAAAGAAUUGCUCUACCUUGCAAAGCCAAGUUCUCAGCUGAGUACUAUUGAAUCUAGGGAACUUCAGCUUGGUCAUCCUAGACAUUAUUGGACCUCUGGCAUGAUACUGAGCCUGAAUUGGUGAAGCAUUGUUUCUGUCAACUCCAAAUGUUCCUCCUGAUGUUUGUCCAACUUGGGCCGGCUGUGGAACUGGUCCCAUGGUUGCUGCAUAUUGAGGCACAGAUCCCACCCCUGCAUGAACUCUAGCUGGAGAACAAGAGGGCAUUGAAGGUCUUCCAGUAGAAGGAGGUAACCAAGCCAUGGGAUUCCCUGAAGGGGUAUAAACCUCACCACCUCCAUCUUGCCCUUCAGUACUCUUACCCCGAUCAAACCUUCUAGUUUCUUCUAUAGAUUCCUUCAACUCAACCAAAGUCUUUUCAUGUUGAGCCUUCAAUUAAUUUUGUCUAACAUUAAAGUUGGCAAUUUCCACCGCCAUCCUUUCAAACAUUGAUUUAAUUUCAUCCAUAUCUGUAGACAUUGCAAUCCCACAGAGCUCAAGAAAGUUCUUUGAUGUCAAAUGUUGCAGAACAAUUAAUAAGAAGUAAUGGGACAGUGUUCUAGUGGAAUAAUAGCCAGAUAAAUUGCAGAAAUGGAACUAAGUUAGAUUGAGAACUAAGCUAAAAACUAAUUAUGGCUAAGAUAUUUUUCAUAUAUAAUAGUAACAAUGGAAAUGACUCAUUACAAUUUAUAGUCCUUACAGGAUAAGGCUGAAAUUGUACUGCUCUCUUCAGCCACGAUUUUUUGUUUUUCAGUUGGUGACAGCUUCAUCCUCAUCAUAGCGCCGCCUCCCCUCCGACAACUGCGCCAACCAACCAUCAGUCCCCUCUCGUCCUCCUCCUUCCCCGUUCCGUCGCGACCUCGCCGCCCACCAGCCGCCUCCGAGCCCCUCCUCUUCUUCGCUUUGCGCCGCCGCUGCUCCACCGGCUACCACCACCUCGAGCAUCCGUGAACAACGACGACCAGCCCCUCGUCACCGCUUGAAUCCAUCACUCCAGCCGCCAGAUCCCCUCCGUUCACGCCACCAGCUGGCGACAACAGCUUCUUCGUCACAUGCAACAGCCGCCAUAGCUACAUCUCCGCUCUCUCUACCGAAAAGUACAUAUUUUCGGGACUAAGGUUUGAUUCCGUGUUUUUGGGUUCUCAACCUUCUUCGACUUGUUUUCUUUAUUAUUUGAUUUCAUCAUGAGGGUUAUUCAAGGCUUACUGUGAUUCGUAUCGGCUUAAGCAUUCACGUUAUUGCGUGUGAAAAUGCCUAAAUUCUGCGUGUGUUUGAUUUUGACCCCAACAUGGAUGUCGAUAUACAUGUGCCUGCUUAUUGUUUGUCAUUGAUUGGAAGUUGUUAUUGACGAACAGGCUGUUGUCUCGUAUCCACCUAUCAGCUGGAAUAUGUGAUUAAGGUGGAAUGACUGCCUAAUUAGAAUACUUAGGGUUGAUCCUAAUUGAUUCUAAUAGCAUGUUUGAGGGAAAAGAAUUUCCUCAUGAUUGAUACUCUCUUCGUCUUUAUUUGCUUUGAUUGAACAUUAUUUUAAGGCAAAAUGAGAUAAUUGAUUUGGCAAGUUUUUCUGUAUAAAAAAUGUGUGUGCGUGAUUGUCGGAGUGAUUUUGAUUCAUCUCUUUUUACUUAAUUUGUGGCUAUUCCCCGUCUUUUACACCCCUUAAUUAUAAGGAUUUAUAUAUGUGAUUUUUGAAUUAAUUUAAUGUAAUUUGAUAAUUGAUCACUGCUAGGAUAUUCCGCCUCCCGAUUUUUCCAAUAAACUUGGCUUGUACGGUGGAUCCUUAUUACGAAUCUGUUUACUUUUGUUUUCGUUUACUUAUGGGUAUCGUAUUUAUGUUAUGCCAUCUUGUUUCAUGUUUUACUAUGAAUUUGUUUAGUAUUCCGUGUCUCGAGUCGAGAGUCUAUCGGAAACAGCCUUUCUACCUCUUUAGAGGUAGAGGUAUGGACUGCAUACAUCUUACCCUCCCCAGACUUUACUAUGUGGGAAUACACUGAAUUUGUUGUUGUUGUAUCUCUCUUCAACAUAAUUAAAUUUGUUUGAAUAGAUAAUAUCCCACAUGAUUGACGAAGUUGUAUUAAAUACUAGUGUUCGUACAUCUUUGCCAUUAUUUGUUCUAUAUUCAAAAAUACUUUGCUUAUACAGUUAUGGUAAGUUUUAGUCUAAUUUGAUUUUAUUGAUUCUUCAUUGCUGUAUAUUUCUUUUCCUUUUUUAUACCUAGAGGGAUUCCCCCUCCACACUAUAUAAACCCCCUCUUCUUUCAGCAAGAACGGACUCUCUAAUAUUUACUCUCUCCCUACUCUCUAUACUCUGCCUAUUCUUUGUGAUAACCAAGAACUUACAACUCACACGAUCACAAGAAAGCUUUAAGCGAACAAGAAACAAUUUGACUUUAUUACUCUUUGUGCUCACUGUUGGAGCAUUGUUUUCGACAUUCCUGUGAUCCUGCGCUGCUUGGGUAUUUUUAUUAUUAUUACUUGUUGCUAUCUUCAACCAGUAAGUUUUCUGACGAUGUAAUUUCAAUACCUUAUAUGAUGAUGCUAGAAAACAUGUCUUUUGGAAUUACAUGGACUUUUGUGUGUUGUAUCGUUGUUGUGUCAUUUUGUAUUCGGAAUUAUAUUAGGAUAUUUUCGUUGGCCUCUUUGUGCUUGUCAUGCUAUGCCACUAUGUUUAACAGGUUUGGAGGAAUUGAAGAGUUGAUCGAGGAUUUGAGAGGGAUUAUGUUUUUCCCUUUUAGUUUAGUCGAUUCUUCUUUUUAUUGGUAUGUAAUAUUGUAUAAACGCUACACUGAUGUAAUAAUAAAUUGGGGACUGCUUCUGGGGAACGGGGAACUAUGUGCUUUAUGAAUAAUAUCGUUAGGCACUGAUUUAGGCUUCAUAUUUUUUACGUGCUAUGUGAAUCACUUAGGCACAAAAUGUCAGGGUUCGUUAACAUACGAAUAGUUUAGACACUUAAUUCAUAAUUUGUUAAUUAUUUUUUAUCUAACUAAGAACGACAUACCAAGUUAUUUUACAUCAAGCAUAUUAAUACAUUAUUUGACAUCAAGCAUAUUAACAUAUUGGUGGCGCAUGUUAAUAUUUUAAGCACAGUUAAUUUGGGCAUACCAAUAUAUUUUAGCAUGUUAAACCUCGCAUGUUUAACACAGUAAUGAAAAUUUCAGCAUUCAGCAUGUCAAUCUAAUUAGAACGUGUUAGCAUAAAUUCUUACACUAACAUAUUUGUCAUCAUGGUUACAAAAGGCUUAGACAAACUGCAGAAUGGUAGUUUCAGUAUGUUAAUGUUAUUAAAAUAAGCCUUAGCAUGAUUAAUUAAUUAUCUCAGUAUUUUAGCACUAAUUUUCUGCAUCUUUAAAUGAUAAUUUCAGCGUGUUAAUGUUAUUAAAACAAUGCAGUAUUUAAUUUCUGCUCAUUAUAACACAUUUUCUGGUCAUUUUAAAUAUUUCCUGUACAUUCAUAACAUUUUAAAUAUAUUUUGCACAUUAUGAAAUGUUCUGCAUAUUAAACUAAAUUUCUGUACAUUUACAUAACCUCAGCAUUUACUUCUGCACAACUUCUGCGUAUGAUAACUAUUUUCAGCAUGAUAGUCUUGAAAUUUAAACAUGUUAACAUUCAAUUCUUGCACUAUUAACAUUUUAGCUUAUUAAAAGGUUAGGCAUAUAGCAUUAUAGUUCUUACACAUUGACUACACUUUUGACGCCCUUUUGUUAACAGUUAGUAACACACGUGACACUUACGAGUUGCCGUUAUUGUCGAUACUAUCAAUUAUUGAAUACUUAGACAUCUUGCCUAUACGUUAACAACAUAAUAAAUAAUUACUUGUCUUUAUAAUAAAUAAUUACUUGUCUUUCCUUGCUAUCACAUUAGUUAACAUUAAUUAAUCAAGAGGCUAACUUGGGACAAUUCUGUGCUACUUGUGGUCCAACGUGUUAUGCAUUUCGAGUCCUAGGCAACAUAACUUUCUUUGCGUCUAGAGUACCAAUCCAAAAUAGUAUAGUCCAAUGCUUCUUGGAUGAUAGGUGGGACGUUAAGUACUACUAAUAACAUUAGUUUAUCCUUGUCGUAGAACGCCCUUAGACUUGACGUCCAUCCUAGGUGGGGUGGAAUGGGUAGUCAUUUGGAAUGAUGAUCCAAACAGAUAUUAACAGCGAGGCUAAUGAUAUUAUUACUUGUCUAAGAGUUUGGUCUCAGUCUCUUGGGUCGGAUGAUGAUUAACAAGUUGGGUUUCUGAUCGAAAUGAGAUCAAACCAUUUCUUUGUUUGACUAGGACGAUCUCUUUUUUAGUCUUUUUAUUUACUUUAUAUGUUUAUUUGGGGUAGCUAAUUUAUCAUAAAGUGGUCCUCUUUUUGUUGCAAAUUAUGACAUUUCUUUCUCCUCGCAUAUCUUAUUUAUAUGUUUUAUUUAUUCACUUAGAUAAUCAACAAUUAGAAAUAACAAAGUAACAUGUGUUUUGUUUAUUAAUUACUUUCUCACUUAGUCAAAUAUUAAAUUAAUGAUAAAAUAAGAGACUUUAUUUGAUCACGUAGAAUCCUCAGGUAAAGUAUGAAUUCGGCCAAGAACCACCUUUGUGGACCUUGAAAGGUGCCUAACUCCUUCCUUUUGAGGUAAUUUAAACUCUUACUUGAACUCUGGUGGACUAAGACUAAACAAUAAAAUAGGUUCGUAGUAGCCUAGAUAGGUGCCCUAACGCGCCUUAAUUCGUUAGAUGGCGGUGCUUCACACUCUUCCUUAACGCAUCUCAAAAAGAGUUUGUCACGUCGAAUCCCGCCUUCUGCGAGGAAAACAAGGUGCGACAGUGUAGUCGUAUUACAUUGUGUCAUACAUUAUUUAUUUAAUGAAAAUACAUAUAAUUAAUUAACUUAUUCUGUGCAAUCUACUGUGAACUUAUUAAUUCAAAUGAAAUAAUUUUUAAAUGAUAAGUUUGAACGAUAAAAGAAAAGAGAUUAUUUUGUUGAAAUUUUAGAUUAAUAUGUAUUAAUUAUUUUAGUGGGGUAUUAGUUUUCAACAAGAUCUCCACAUUUAAAUGGAGUAAUUGUAUGGCUUUAGCAUCUUUUAUGUAUUAAAAAAAAUAGAGACAAAAAAAUAUAAUGCCACAACAUUUUUGGAUUAUUUAAUUCAUUUAUCACGUUUUAAAAUAUUGUUUACAUCAAUUCAGUGAUGUUUAUAUGAAAAAGUUAAAUUUUGAAUUAAUUUGUGAUAUAAUUUAUAUUCUAUUUUUAUUAUAUAAAAGAUUUGACCUUAUAUAAUUAUAUAUACUAAUUCAAUAACACAGAAAUAUUGUCACACUUUUCUUCUCUCUCUGUUAUUGUUAUUGAUCAUUAGCCUUAUUGGUAUUUAUCAAGCUUUUCAUUAUGAAUAUGUAGAAAUAAGAAUUGUUAAUAGUUUCCUAAAUAUUAAUUCAAAUUUUUCAUCAUAAAUUGCAAGCUUUAAAUAUAAAGGUUUCGACAUAAUAAGAAUCACACAUAUUGAUGAAAUGUUAUCAAUAUUUCAGAUUGAGAGUUCAACAGAAAAAUAUACAUAUGAGAAGGUUGUAUAAUGUAAUCACAAUGUAACACAGGUCUGAAUUGUUGAAAAUGAUUUGAAUUAUUCGUAGUGAUUCUUCUUUCUCGAGAAAAAUAAGUUUGUUAAUUUUUUAAUAUCUUUAUACAAAUAUAAAUUUAUACUAUGAGUAAUAUAAUUUCUUGAUUAUAUAUUAUUUUGAGGUCUUGCAUAAUUUUGAUAUAAAAAUGAUUGAUUUUUUUUUAUUUUAUUAAUCGUUAUUCAAUAUCAUAUUUUGGUAUAGUAAAAGAUCCGCAUAUUGAAGAACUGUUGUCACUAAUUAAUAAUGAGAUUUCAAGAAGAAAUAUAUGAGGAGGUCACUAUAUAUUCAAACAAUAUAGGUUUGAAACAAGAAAAUUAUUUGUUAAAAAUGAUUUUAAUUAUUCAUAAUAUUUUUCUUUCUUGAGAAAAAUAAGUUUGUUACCUUAGUGAUUUCUUUAUCCAAAUACAAAUUUUCGUAAUAUAGUCUCACUAAAUAAUGAAUCUAUUAAUAAAAUUAAAAAAAAAUAUCAAUUUUUUUUACGCGAAUGAAAAAUAAAAAUUUCAAAAUCUUGCUUGAGAUUAUUAUGAUUUAUUCAUUUAAAAUUUUAAAAUUUUUAAAGAUAAAUUUUACUUAUCUCUUUUUUAUAUUUAGUAUUUUGUGAUCCUAUUUUGACAUAAAUGUGAAUGUUAUAAAUGGUAUAACUAGAACGAUAAUACUUUUUCUUUAUACUUAGUCUCCUUUCAAUAUUCGUAUAUAGGUAAAUAUUUUUAACAAAUUCAAAUUGAUUUUAUCUACUUUUUUUUUUCAUUUGAAGUAAUUUAUUAUGAAUUAUUUGUUAUGAACUAUUCAAGAGACUAUAAUUAAUUGGAGAUUUUGACUUACAUUUCAUUAGUUUAUUUUGGCUUAUUUAUUGGUCAAUGAAAUAUUUUCUUAUGUUUUACUAUUUGAUAAAUUUGUAAAUCUAAAUUACUUUUAUAAUCUAUCUUUGUUUAAUGAUUACUUUUACUUAAAUAUUAUUCGCACAUCGUGCGGGUACUAAUACUAAUAUUAUAAAAAUUGAAAAGAUUAAUGUCAUUUUUAUAAAUAUGUGAUCCGAUUAACCGUCAUCACCUUUAUGUUAGACAUGAGAGUGCAUGAAGAAUUACUUCAUUUGUAUAUCAAAUAAUACAUUUUCCAUGUCCAAGCAUUUAUUAAAAAAAUAUUUAUCAAGUUGUACAAAAAUUGAUGAAAUAUUUACUUUUAGAUGUUGUAUCGUCAUAAUAAUAUAAGUGAUGCAUUCUUUAUAUCCAUGAGCGUAUCAUCUACAUGUAUCUUUUAUAUUGGCGUCGCUUUUGCCAAAUAUACCAACACAUGUGAAAUGGUGAAACAAAAAUAAAAUGUUAACAACGUAUAACUUGAAAUUUAUACUAUAAACUCAGUUAGAUUUGCAAUAAUUUCAAAGCAAAUAAGUGACUUCCAUUAUAAUUGCAAACUAUGUCAAAAUUGAGAUAGAUACAUUACAUCCUAUUAGGCAGAUGACAUAAAAAAUAGAAGGUUACAUGACAUUUUUUUAUUAAAAAAAAAGCACUAAUCCUUUAUUUCAGUGAGAAAGAUAAAUCAUGAAGACAUAGCAGAUACAUACAAAUUUAUACCGUCUGCUCAAAUGAGACAUUUCAGAUACGAUACACAACUCAAGCAACAUUAUUAGUUGCCCUCAGUACAGCGAAACUAGAUAGUAUUUCAUGAUAGAGGGCACCUGUACAGGUCCAAGUUCAAUUGUGUUCAACUAAUACUAUUUCACGUUAGCACACAACUUUAGAGGUCUAAGCUCAAUUGUGUUCAACUAAUACUAUUAUAUUUUUGCUGACAACUUUGUGCUUAUCUAAGGGUGUGUUUGGUAUGCUUAGAAAAUAUUUUUCUAGAAAAUAUUUUCAUGAAAAACAAUUUGGUUUCUUACUUGUUUUCUUAUGUUUGGUUGAUGGAUGAAAAAUAUUUUUUAGUGUUUGGUUGGUGGAUGAAAAAUACCUUCCAGUGUUUGGUUGGUGAAUAAAUAAAUAUUUUUCAGAAAAUACAUUUUAGUGUUUAGCUAAAGAAUAAAAAUACAUUUUAAAAAAAUAAUGUUUGACCCUGAAAAAUAUUUUUUUUAGGGUGUGUUCGAUAUGAAGGAUCCAAAACUAAUAUUGUGUACUAAUGUUUUCCUUAAUAUUAAUAACUAACCAAUUAAUUAUUCCUAAGUAUUUUAGGUAGACAAAAAAUUUAGAAAAACAAAAACCAAAACAAAGCAUGUAUGGUAUUAAAUUUUUUGAUAUAAAACAUUCUAACUCAUUGAAAGAAAACAUGAAGGCCCAAAGAAUCGUAAAAAAUCAUAAUGUUUAACACUUUUAAAUCAAUUAGAAUUUUAUCUUUUGUGAAAAAGAAAUUGAUCUUUGCUUAUGCUUUCUUCUUAUUUUAGUUCUUCAAGUCAUUUUUUUUUUCAUUAUCAUAGUCCUUUCUGUAGAUUUAAAGAUUAUAUGAAUUAUAAUGAUAAUGAGUUCUUCUCUUUUGAUAAUUUUUCUUUUUUUCAGUUUAAAAUUUUGAUUGAAAAAUUGGACGAAAUAAGCAUAUUGUGGUUGAAUGAUAUAGCCAAAAAAUCAAAUGUUUAUCUCUUUCCGUUUUUUCUUUAUUUAUUUAAAUGUGACUUAGCUUUGAUUAUGUUAUGUAAUUUUAGUUUGUUAUACUAUUCGUUAGUACUGUAGUUGAAUCUUCAAUUAAACCUAUUUGUUGAAUUCGAAAUAAGUUUGUAGUUAAGUAUUGAAUCUUGAUAUGCAAAGUUUUUAUUUGAAUAAUGAACAUAUAAAUUAACUUGGUCUUGUGAUUUAGGUUUCUCUUCUCUUUCUAAGGGAUUUUUCUAGUUUUUUCUUUAACUUGCUACAAAAGUAUGCAAAAUUUGAUGCAUGAAUAAAUUGUUUCUUUACUAGCUAUCAUAACUGUUGAAUUUGUUUCUAAAUGCCCCUAAUGUAGGUUGGUGUAUGUUGAAAUGAAAUUGGAUGAAAGUAGUUGAAAGUUAUCAAUAAUUUGUAUAAUCAACUUUAAUUAGUUAUGAUUGAGACACAACUGAUUGCUAUGAUAGUAUUUCUAUAAAAUUUAUUUACAGUUUUUGUCUAUGGGUUGUUUUAGGUGUUUUCACUUAGGUCAUUUAUGCUCUAUCUUACUAUAAGAUAUAGCUUAUUUGACUUUUAUUUAUUGAUAUCUUACCAUAAGAUUUACGAUUAUAUUUAAUUAGCACAUUGAGUCGGAAAAGUGCAGCAAAACUGUGAGCGAAUUGGCAAAAGUAUUGCAUCGGCCAACUAUUAAAAUAUUCUUUAGAUAUAUAAGUCCAUGUUGGAUAUAGCUUGUAGUUGAAGACACUGAAAUCAAUUACUUUGGUAUAAACCUUAAAGUGUUUCAUUGAUGUGAAUGGAAAUGUAUAAAUUAGUAUCAAGUUUACAAGAAUAUUUAGAUUAAAAUUAAGAGUUAUUAUUUUUUUGUAUUGUUAUAAUUUUUUAUAUUGUAUAUAUCUACUAUUUAAAAUAUAUCAUUCGCAAUUUAAAUUUUAUAUUAAAUAAUUUGAGAUAAAUGUGCAAUGCACGUUUCCAUAUACUAGUGAAAUUAAUUUUGUGGAUAAGAUUGUAUACAAUAGAGUUUUGAGAUAUGGUGCUUACCAAAGAUUUAAUAAAUGUAGCAAAAGUAAAUUUUGAUCUAUGUACUAAGUAUAAUAAUUUAUACAUAUAAUAUAAAUUUUUAAUGAAGUGUUCAGAACAUUCGUUAUUGAAUUGAUAGUUUAAUUACUUCUACGAAAAUUGACCUUGGAAUAAGGUCUAUGCAAUUUUCUCAAUCUUAUCUUUUUUUUCGCUCUAAUUUAAAAAGUGACAGAGAGAAUUUGGAGAAGAACACGCGCCGACAAAUCAAUGUCACGUCUAUGUUAUAUCGAAGUCACGUAAGAAAAGUAUUUUUUAAAAAUAAUUAUAUAUAUAUCUUCUUUUAACCACCCCACCCCCCACCACCCAAAAAAAAACAUGUUUCUUCUUCAAUCCCCACACCCACUUCACCUCACUUGAAAUAAUCCAUCAUUGGAGUGUUCAGAACCACCAUUUGUUCGACGAAUGACUCAACGAAACAAAAAUAGUAACUUUCUUUCUAGGGCUAAGGGCUUGGAAAGUUGUUCGGUAUCUUUGUUGGUAGGAGGUAGCAGUACCUCAUGGGAUAGUCGAUCUAAGCACAAUCCGGCUCGGACACCAAUUGUUACUGAAACAAAAAAGGGUUUUACCCCAAGAAGGUGCUCCCAUGAUAGAGGGGGGUAGGAGGUACCUCGAAGGAUACUCGAGCUAGGUACAGGUGUAAAGGAACUAGCUUGAUGAGUAAUUUUUAUGUAUCUAUCUAUGUUUUUGUGUGUUCUUUUUCCCAAGAUUUUGUGUUCUAUGUAUAUUGUUGUUUGAUGAAGUGUAAAGGUGCUAGCUUGAUGAGUAAUUUGGAUGUAUCUAUUUGUGUUUUUGUAUGUUUCUUUUUCAAGAAUUUGUGUUCUAUGUAUAUUGUUCUUUGAUAAGGUGUAAAGGCACUAAGAUGAGUAAUUUGUAUGAUCUUGUGGAUUGGAGAUCAUAAGAGUGCAGUUUUUGGGUUGAUUAUCUGGUCAAUUAGUAUACAUUUUGUUGUAAUAACCUUCUUUCCAGGGUCUUAUCCUUGUAAUACUCUGUAUUUGUGUUGGUGGGAGGUGCAGGUAUCUCGUGGGAUAGUCGAGCUAAGCACAAGCUGGCUCAGACACCAUGUUACUGGGAAAAAAGGGUUUUAUCCCAAGAAGGGUGCUCCUCUCCUAGAGCGAGGUAGGAGGUACCUCGCGGGAUAGUCAAGCUAGGUACAAGCGACAUCACUUGUUAUGGGAAAAGAAAAAGGGGGUUUUACCCCGUGUAUGAAGAAGGGUAAUCACCUGCUAGUGUGGGGUAGGAGGUUGUUGGUAACUUGUGGGGUAGUCAAGCUAGUCACAAGUUGGCUCGGACACCAUUUGUUCCUGGAAAAAAAAAAGAGGGGUUUGAGUGGGGGGUGGGGGCUACCCCUUGUAUGAAGAAUGGUACUCCCCUUCUAGUGCGUGGUAGGAGGAGAAAAGGGCUUAGACAGGCGGCCUUCUCCUUGAAUUUAUGCAAAAGAGGCUGUAUGCAUGCCUCAAACCCAUGUUCUCUGCACCAAAGGAGCAACUUUACCGUUGCACCGAUCUUGAAAUGUUAGUGAAAUUAAUAUAUGGGGUUUUGAGAUUUCUUUAAAGUAAAAGUGGGAGCCAAGGGUUUACCAGAAACAACCUCUCUACCCUACAAAGGUAGGGGUAAGGUCUGUGUACAUUCUGCCCUCCUCAGACCCCACUUAUGGGAUUACACCGGGUAUGUUUAAUGUAGAAGUGGGGCGAAAUUUAUUUGGAUGAAGAAAGUAUAAUGUUAGUGAAGUGGUUUUGGGAGUCCUUCAAAGUAAAACUGGGAUGAACGAGAGGGGGUUCCCCUAGUAGUAGAUCUCUCCAUUUCCAACCAAGAGUUCGAGAAUUUGAAUAACCACGGGGAAAUGUGGAAAAUCCGUAAUUUACAAUUCUCUAAUUAAAUCUCUGGUGUACUUGACUUCAUAUAGUCAUCGAUUCUCCCGAGAGAUCUCUAGGGAGGGGGAGAAGAGUGGGGUGUGUUUACCAGCCCCUAAAGGAAACAAAAAAGCGAGAUCCUUUAAAAAUGGCUGAAAGGGGAAGGGAAAUUUUAGAUUUGGAUGUUCUAGUAUGACAUGCGUUUUGGUGAGUCUGAUUGACGCAUGACAUCACUUUUGAGCACUAACUAAUACUUUUAUCUGAAAACUUUGGCUUAUUUUCAUAUAAUCAAAGUGGUGCUAAUCUCUAUUAUAGUUGAACAGUUAGUUUGUGGGUGCAGGAUGAUCUGCAGCUUGGUUUAAGUUUGCAAGAUUUGUUCAAAAAAGUGCUUAUAAGGGAUGUCGAGUGGGAGCUAUACACACUGGUGCCACAGAUGCAGGCAGCCAAUUCGACCUUUAGGAGGUAAUUGUCUUUGCCCAAAUUGUGGUGGAGGUUUCGUUGAAGAGCUCGAUGACAUGACAGGUUCUAGAUCAAAUAUUGAGGAUGAUCCUCAUUUUGGAUUGAUUGAUCCUUUUCCAGACCCAAGAUUUGGUAUAAUGGAUGCCCUUGCUGCGUUCAUGAGGCAGAGAAUGGCAGGAAGAAACCCUAACUUUGACAUAAGGACAAGAUCUGGCAUUGUUCCAGGAAGUGGGAGGGGCUUUGGUUCUGGUCCAUGGUUGAUAUUUCAUGGCCAAACUCCUGUUAGUAUGACCGAAAAUGAUGCAUUUGAGUACUUUUUCAAUGGAAGCCCAGGAAUGGGGCAGCGACGACCUAAUUUUGAUGAUUUGAUGGGGACUGGGCUGCAACAGUUAAUUGAGCAGCUCAGUAUGAAUGAUAGGCAGGGGCCUCCCCCGGCACCUCGUUCGGCAAUUGAUGCUUUGCCUACUGUCAGGAUCACACAAAGGCACCUCAACACUGAUUCUCAAUGCUCAGUUUGUCAAGAUAACUUUGAAUUGGGUUCUGAAGCAAGGCAAAUGCCAUGUAAGCAUCUUUACCAUUCAGAUUGUAUUGUACCUUGGUUGGUCAGGCACAACUCAUGCCCUGUCUGCCGUCUUGAGCUGCCUUCACGAGCUUCUGGGAGUGCCCCGACCAAUUGGACUUCCAGAACUGGAAACGUUAGCAGUGGCACCAACAACAG